rnacentral:lncRNA from 1 species
GGUGUGAUGAGGGGGCCCAAGAGCAGCAGUUUGUUGAGUGCCUUCCCGUGUUGAAAGGUCUGCAAACAUUGAAAAACAAAACAAUACUCUUCGGAAAAGGUGAAGUUGGCAUGUGGUAAGCAUGGCAUUUUCCAAGUUCAGGUUCUGCUCAAGCAAGGUUCUAGCAAGUAUUCUAAGUGAUUUCAAUGGGAGGCGGACACUAAAAUACAGGCCAUAUUAUAGACAGCAAGGCGUAGCAUAGACCAACGUCAUUCAGGCAAAGCGUAGACCGUUUUGUGUAGGAACUCACACAAGUAGUGUCAGAAAGAUGCCACAUUCAGUGCAAAACUGAUUAAAGUUUAGCAUCUAAGGUUGUCGAGGCAUGUACCUCUCUUAGUUACAUUGGUAAGCUCGACAGUGCUCGCUAUCUUGUGGCACCCUUCAUCUACAUGGUUAGGAAGUCCUUGUUCUGCAGAUGGUGUGCCUUGCUCAUUGGUUAAAACGUUGUUGAUUUGGCUGGAGUUGCUUGACGGACUCAGGGGGAAAUUAGUGUUUUCUGAUAUCUCAACAUCUGCGUGCUCAUGGAUACCAUCAUCCAUACUUCUGUCUCUGAAUCUGCCCUCCCUAAAAGUAUGGGAAUUGAUGUCUCUUUCGUAAAAUCUUCUUCCCAAUGCAACAAUUUUCUGUCGCAGUGAAGCUGAAGAACUUGAUAUGACAUGCCAAUUCCUUUUGACAAACAUGACCAUGUGGAUGAGGAGAGCUAAAACUGCAACAACUCCAGCAAUCAAGAAUAGGCCCCAGAAACUGUCAAGACCCAAACUAUUGGAAGAAAUGGAGGGAGUUGAAUCGAGGCAGUUGGUUUCUGAUGUAAACCACGCUUUUUCAAUUUUCGUCAUGUUAGGCCCUUCAGUUACGUUGAGGAUUGCUCGUGAAAUAUCUGGGACUAGCGGAGACCCUUUGGGGAAAACCUGUAAACCAAAAGAAGCAGGACAUGAGAUUUUUCAAUCAAAGAAAUAACAACUAACCUUAGUAAUUGUGGAAUUUGAGGGGUUUUGUUUUUUUUUUUUGGCUAAAAUUGAGAGAUUGACUUACGAAGCCAAAUCCAGCAGUUUUAAAUGUCGGGAUCAUUAUAUAUUUGUUGCAGUAUUGAGAAAGAACAAGUUUAAUGUUGGGGACUUCGUCAAUUGUGGCUGCAAUCCCACCCUUUGAGCUUCCUUUGGAAAGAAGCACAUCGCAUUCUUCAACAGACUUAUAAGAUACAAGUCUGUAAUCAUCGAAUUUCAUUUGCUUUAGCAUCUCAUGAACGAAAGUUCCAUACAGGUAUCCCACUCUUUCUCCACUAUUUAGGAGCUGAUGCACAUCAGCUAUAGUUGGUUGAGAAUUUUGCACCACCAAAAGAGAGCUCAAGCUUGCCGUAUAACUUUGCGUUAGAAUAAGUACCACGAAAACCCACACGAUCACAACAAAUCUCGUUAGGUUGCUAAAUGCUCUCUCCCCUGCAAUCCAAAUUAAGGGUAAGCACAUAAAUUCUCCAACAGUGAUUUGUAAUGUUUGAUUGAUCUACUAAAGUGAAGGGUGUUUACUUUAUUGCAAGUCGGCACAUCCACCGACUUCCCACACCAUCUUCCUAUUAUUUUAUUGCAAGUUGUUGGGUCAACAAUUGCGGCUGAAGCUGAAGAAUUGUCUAGAAAGAAAAGUCUGGAGAAGUGGAGAGAGAUCCGGACGAGUAAAGAGAGAGAGAUCUGGAGAGUUCUAGGAGAGAGAGGCGGUGAUCUUCUCAACAUCACCCACCACUGCAUCAUAAUUCUGUUCCAACGAAAGGAAGGGAAAUUUUUUUUCUUUGUCAAUCACAUGAUAGCACAUUAUGUUUCAACAUGUAAUCCAACGGGAUUAAGCUGUUGCAAAGAGCUAUGAAUCUGCUCUCCCUAAAAGUUUGGGAAUUGAUGUCCCUUUCGUAAAAUCUUCUUCCCAAUGCAACAAUUUUCUGUCGCAGUGAAGCUGAAGAACUUGAUAUGAUAUGCCAAUUCCUUUUGACAAACAUCACCAUGAAAAUGAGGAGAGCUAAAACUGCAACAACUCCAGCAAUCAAGAACAGGCCCCAGAAACUGUCAAGACCCAAGCUAUUGGAAAUAAUGGAGGAAGUUGAAUCGAGGCAAUUGGUUUCUGAUGUACACCACGCUUUUUCAAUUCUCGUCAUAGGCCCUUCAGUUACAUUGAGGAUUGCUCGCGAAAUGUCAGGAACUAGCGGAGACCCUUUGGGGAAAACCUGUAAACCAAAAGAAGCAGGACAUGAGAUUUUUCAAUCAAAGAAAUAACGACUAGCCUUAGCAAUUGUAGAAUUUGAGGAUUUUUCUUUAUUUUUUGGCUGGAAUUUAGAGAUUGCCUUACAAAGCCAAAUCCAGCAUUUUUUAAUGUCGGGAUCAUGGUGUAUUUGUAGCAAUAUUGAGAAAGAACAAGUUUAAUGUAGGGGACUUCGUCAAUUGCAGCUGCAAUCCCACCCUCUGAGCUUCCUUUGGAAAGAAGCGCAUCGCAUUCUUCAGCAGAUUUAUAAGGCACAAGUCUCUUAUAGUCAGAUGUCAUUUGCUUUAGCUUUUCAUGAAGGAAACAUCUAUCCUGGUAUCCCACAUUUUCUCCACUCUUUAGAAGCUGAUCUACAUCAGUCACAGUUGGUUGAAGAUUUUUCACCACCAAAAGAGAGCUCAAGCUCGCCGUAUAACUUUGUGUUGGUAUAAGUACCACGAAAACCCACACGAUCACAACAAAUCUUGUUAGGUUGCUAAAUGCUCUCUCCCCUGCAAUCCAAAUUAAAGGUAAGCACAUAAAUUCUCAAACAAUGAAAUGUAAAUUGUAAAGUUCGAUCGAUCUACUAAAGUGAAGGUCGUUUACUUUGUGCAAAGACCAUGGUUGAAAACGAAAACCAGAGGCUCGUGCCAACUUGAUGCGUGGCUGGACCCCUGAAGUCUUCAUUAAUCCGAUGUUCCAGAAUCCACACGACCAAUGCUAUAAAACGAAAAAGCAUCCGGUUGCUAGCCAAAGGUCCCCAGUGAGUGGCUUCAAGAAAACCCAAGCAUUCUUGCUCUUGUUGUCCUUGUAUGGCACAAGCAUUGCAAUUCCCGAUUCUGUGUAUGGUAAGGUAAACUCCACGUACAAUGAUCUGUUUGCAAGUAUCGUCGUAUCACCCACCACUGCAUCAUAAUUCUGUUUCAACAAAAAGAAGGGAGAAUGUUUUCUUUGUCAACCACAUGAUAGCACAGUAAGUUUCAACAUGUAAUCCAACGAGACCGAGCUGUUGCAAAGAGUUAUCUCACCUGGUAAUAUACUUGAUCAAUCAUGUCAUUGUAACUACCAGCGCUACUUCCAUUAGGCAAGGCAAACGGAGUAAGUUCAUAAGUCAACGCAUAAGGUAGUUUUUCUAUCACAGCGCAAAAGAUGUCAAUACAGUAUCGGGUGACUUGGGAUAUGUUUGUUGUAGGAUCACGUGUCACCGUCACGAAUUGAUUGAAACCGUCUUUCACGGGAACUAAGAUUUUCAAACUUUUCCCAGUCGUGGGAAACUCCCAUCCCUUGGGAACAAAGGUCGAAUCUCCUGGCCAUAUUAUUGUUCCUAAAUUACCCUUCGAAGCGGAAUAUUUGCUUGUGUCAGAUGGAUUCAAAUCUCUCAAUAGCCCAUUUUUUAGGGCCCAGAACCUGAUCCCUCUUGCCGCGUUUCCAUUGAUGUUAACAAUUUGGAACACUAACGAUUCUAACUGCCCAUCAACAAGACUGAAAUUUCUAGUGAGCCCCAUGAAUGUGAUAUGAGCUAGUUCUUGGAGAAGUUUCUCACCAUUUUGAGAGACCCCAACAGUGUCUAGAUCAGUUGCAUCUGUCAAAGUAUUCAAAAUCUCGAAGCUAAAAUUCACCGUUCUCAUUUCCUCAACAGCCAUUGCCAGAGCCCGAGCAGCAUCAUAAGUAUAGUAUCCGAAGAUGUUCAACGGAGGACUAAGGACGGAUGGAUUCUCUUGUUGGAAUUUCUUCUUCCACUGGAUCAUGAAAGUGUCCAGGUUCCGUGUGUCUGGGACAUAAGUCUUAAUGCCCAAUACUCCUUGCAUCGAACUAGCAACAACUGAUGAAUCCACAGAACUUAAUAGGUCGGUGAUUCCAUUAGUCAAGAUCCAGACGUAACCUUUGCUCAUCAUUCCCAACUCUUUUGCUUUGGCCAAUAGCCGAGAACCGAGAGGAGGUAGCAUGUGCACGAUGAAGACCCUCGUUUGCAUCGUCUUUAACUUGUAGAGUUCCUGCCCGAUUUGAUCGUCCGUCGCCGAAGGAGGAAUGAGGCUCCUAUAGGGCACUCGCGUAUUGAGCUCUUCCAAAGCACCCAUAAGAGAAGGUAUGAUGCCUUCUCCAAACUCAUUGUCCACAUAUAUUAGAACCGCUUCUCUCCAACCAAAAGCUUGCACGACUGCGCUUAUGGCGUUCACUUGGGACGAGUCAUUUUGCGCAGCUCGAAUGAAGUAUGGACUCCGAAGGGAACUGAGGGAAGGACUAGUAGCAGAAAAAGAGAUGAUCGGCACGUGAGAUUUGUUUCCAAGGUCAAUGACGAAGUCUGCUUGCACUGAACUUUGGGGGCCUAUUAUGGCUUGGACCUGCUUAUUCUUUAUCAGAUCAAGUGCUGCAGUGGUGACCCAGAAAAGACGGUGAAACAAUAAAAAGAACGGCAGAUAAUGGAAAUUCUUAUUGGAAAAGGCACAUCAGGAGUCAAUCAAAACUUGGUGCAAUAUUAUUAAAUUUAUAGAUGGUUAAGAAGAAGGUAACAUCGGAGUUGAAGUUGGAACUUGUACUUAAUAUUAUUGAAACAAGUGUUUACUAACCAGAAAAAUCUGACGUGAACCCAUUAUGAUUAGAUCAUAAUUCAACAUGUUCUUAAGACGAUGAAAUCUCGAUUACUCUGACAAGGUUAAGCGAAACCUCUUAUUUUUGAGGUAGCUGACCACUCCCAUUUGAUUUUAAUGUGAUUUCAAACAUGAUGCACAAUUGUGUUCACGGACGAUAUUUAUCGACAUCGAGGAAGCUCACUUUGAUUAAGUAAACUUCAUAUCCAUGAAAUACCCUGAGCAUGUGAUUGACUAAGCCCUCUUAUUAAAUUAUAACGACUUUAAUAUUAUUGCCCGUCUUCCCCCAUAGUAUACAUAUAAGACCCAAGCAAAAGUCUAGAUAAGAGGUUCAAACAUGAAAUUUUUUGUACUUUGUGCAGCGAGGAAUCGACGCGGCAUGUCCAUUCCAACUGAAAUAUUGUUGGGGAAAUGAAAAUAAGAACAAUUAUGUAGAUAUAUUUUCCUGAAGAAAAAAAAAAAUUGAAGUGUCUCUAUAAAGCAGCCCGGCUUAAAGACUAUUUUCUAAUCCGAAAAGCACAAUAAAAGUUUAUUUCUUGAAUUGUAAACUUCUUGUUACUAGAAAAUAUUUUCAAGAAAUUUAAGAUUAGACAAAGUAAACCUUUUUUUUUUUUUUUUGUAUUUGUUUUCACUGAAAACAAAUUGGAAAAAAAAAUAUUUCCAUGGUAUUUGAUAAUAAGUGAAUACAUUAAAGGCAGCUUGUAAAUUAAAAUUGAUAUGUAAUGACUAACAAAAUAGAAUCAAUGUCUUUUUGUUUAUUUUGUAAUCCAUUAAAUAAAAGGACUUACAAGUAAUUAUUAAAUAAUUUAUGAAAAAUAUUAUUCACAAUAUGAUAUAAGAUGGAUUAUUGUGAGAAUAUCGAAAGACAUGAGCAUUAAUGAAGUAUGUUCAGGAGAUAAUAAAAAAACCAUAUGAGACUUAUCAAGAUAAAAAGAAAAAAUAUUGAUAAGCAGAUAAUGGUUAUAGAAGGACUUAUUCUUCUCAGUUGGACGCACGGCAAAAAUAAAAAAAAUAUGAUUUCUUAUUGCCAAAAAAAGAAGCUGCUUUCCCCAAUCUAAGUUUAUUGUUUUCAAUCCAUGAAAAAAAAAUCAUCAAUCAACUAAUUUUCCAUCAUUCAAAAAAUGGAAAAUUCGAGAACAAUUUCCUGAAAAUGGUUAUUUUUAAACAAACUAACUCUAAUGUUAGUUUUUCUUACCAAAUUUGAAGCUAUGUAGCAUGUGCCUCUUGUGACUCAAUUUCUUACACGGUUCACUUAUCAUCUACAUGUAGACAUAAUUUUUUAGAGGUUUACUACAUCACUGCGGGACAAGAGUCACAGGAGAGUUAUAUAUUCUUCAAUGAAAAGAAUAGACGAUAGUAGUCCUACAUUUUUCACCCUCCAACAUGUUAAAACAAAAAUUCUGCGACAAAAUUCUGCUCACACGUUUUUAUCAAGAUGAAACAUUGUGUCCAUGAAUAUAUGCACAUUUAUACAUUGGCGAACUAUGACAUCAUAGGAAGGUGGACUUCUAGUUCAAAGAUCACAAGUUUACCGACACCAACAAUAUUGAGGAGUUAUUAUAUGGUCUGUAGAUCAUUUUGAUUAAUAUCAUCUCAACCAGUAAAUAAGUAGGCCCUAUCAUGAGCUCGAACGAUUGAUGCUUGAGAUGUAUUUGUUCUAUAUGAUGCAUAAAUCAUACAUGCUUGUUUCAAUAGUGCUACACCCUCUAAAUACAAAAACAAAACCCAAGAAAUGGUUUAAUAGAUUAGAGAUUUUCGAUUUGGGGUGACUGAAAUAACUAUUUCCAUCAGGAUAUUAUUAUUGGAUGGUCCCUAAGAUUGUUUCUUGCAAUAUCGUCUUCUUGGUGUAGCUUUCUGAAGAGUAAACUCCAAGAAUUGAAAGGAAUAAAUGAAACAAAUGGUUCCAAGGUCAAAUGUUACUCUCAAAGACCAGUGUUUUCAAGAAGCACCGCGUGGCGUGGAUGGAACAAAACCCAUAAAUACUGACAAGCUAAGCGUCAAAUCGUCCGUCUCACACGGCCGCAUGACUGGGGUGGACGUGUGAAAGAUAUCAAAUUGAAUCUUAACCAAAAUAAACUUCAUCAAUCAACAGAAGUACAAAAGGUAGAGAGAGAACCUGCAGCAGCAGCAGCAACCUCUUCUCCUUUUGAGUCUCUAACGUUGAGGACGAGCCUGGUCUUGUAAGAAGGGUUUGAACUAUAAAAGUUAGAGAGAGACAAUUCAACGCAGCUCAAUCCCAUUUUACCCACCCACGUCUCCAGAUCAACAAUCACCCCAACGUUCACUGGGAUCGUUGUGGCACUGUUUUUGUUACUACUUUGCGCCACCGCUAGGUGAGGACCGUCGCUGGAGGACACAAUGAUGGCUAAAAAGGAGAGAGCCAAAAAGAGGAGCGUUUCAGCGUCGAAAGAGAUCCUUGGAGGCAUCAUUGAAAAGGGUCUCCGGAAAACGCAAGUGUGUGUUUGUGUGAAAGAGAGACAUGGAGGAUGUGAUGAUGAGGACGACGUAUUUAUAAGGGAGAAGGGCUUUGAAAAGUAAGACAAAGCAUGGAGAGCUUCCAUUCAAGGAUUGCUCGACGUGGGCGGUCCGUCUGAGCAUACGUACCAUGCAAAGAGAUAAGAUGACCUCCGGUAGCAUUCACACUUCAUGUUUUUGUUUUUUGAAUUUUUAAUUUUGUAUGAAGAAUCCUAACAAUUCUUUGAACUCAGGAUUGUUUAUACCAUCAUUUUUUCUGCUGCUAUUUCCAUCUCGUUUUAACAAUUAAUGAUGGAACUUUGUCCGAGAGCUAGAAACUACUCGAAUUUAAGACUAAGAAAUGUAUGGUCUCCGAUAUGAUGUAUAUGCGAUGCAUCAUUCAGUACUUUCUUAAGCAUUUUCCAAUUCUAAUAUGGAGGGUCUGCCUUGAUCAAGAGUCUGCUUGGGAUGGAGUUAAUCUAGUAUACAAAAGCUCGUGGAUAAUACAACAUAAUCAUGCACAAAUAAGAAGAGAUACUCGAUGAUUCUCAACUAAUAUAAGAAGCACGUGCCAACUAGAAAAAGCAUAAAUUGAUGUAAGAUCUAUUCAUUGUUACUAUUACCAUAAACGUAUUGGUAUUUCACUCUAACAACCUGUGCAAACUUGCGUAAAUUCAAUCAUCAUGUACCUGAAGACUUGCCCUAUGCUAGUUUCAAUCGGUAGCUAAGCCAUGACAUAUUGUUGGUGGUCAUUCUUUUAACUACUUUAAAUAGUAAAGUGAGCGAUGGGUUAUACAUCAAUAGAUUAGAAAAAAUUAACAGAGACCGGUCUCGCAUAAUUUUGCUUAACCUAACAGUCCCCUCAAGUUGAAUUUAAUAUAGUAUGAUGAAAGCCUUAUUUAUAUGAAUCCUUACCUUAUCAUAUUGAGUAGAAAACCUCGUAUUUAGAAAUUAAAGAAAAGAAAGAGAGGAAAAAUUGUUGGUGGUCAUUCUUUUAACUACUUUAAAUAGUAAAGUGAGCGAUGGGUUAUACAUCAAUAGAUUAGAAAAAAUUAACAGAGACCGGUCUCGCAUAAUUUUGCUUAACCUAACAGUCCCCUCAAGUUGAAUUUAAUAUAGUAUGAUGAAAGCCUUAUUUAUAUGAAUCCUUACCUUAUCAUAUUGAGUAGAAAACCUCGUAUUUAGAAAUUAAAGAAAAGAAAGAGAGGAAAAAUUUGUAAACUAAUAAAAAAUGUGUGUAUAUAACCAAUUUCGAUCACCUAUCUCUAUAUCAUAUAAAAGUGAGUGUGCAACUAAUUAGGAAUAAUUGAGAAUGACACGCGUGUAUAUUUAUGGCUUAACAACACAAUAAACUUACUAAAUCAUCGUGCAAAAUGAGUGAUUAAUUAUUGUCAUUUUUGUUGUUUCUUGAUCAUCAUCAUCAUCAUCAUCAUCGACUUUCUCUUGCAUAUCAAUUCAGAUUUGAUUCAACUCAACGACUCUUCCCUCUGCACUUCUAGAGGCACACACACGUAUUCCUAAAUGGACUUGCGAUGUGUGCAUAAAAUAUAUUUCCAAUCUUUGUGGCUAAGUUUUGUGAGUUUCCAAGAAACUGCGUAUGCCUUGAAAUCAAACUCAGGAUAUGUGUGCAUAAAAUAUAUAUGUUUAUAUUAAACUGCCCUGGCAAUUAAUUUACAAGUUGUCAAAAAAAAUAGUGAAGAGGGAAACUUAAAUUUAGGAGAAGUAAUUUAGGAAAAGUUAAAAAUAAGGGUUAAUACCACAAAAAAAAACCUCAAAUCGACACAUGUGAUAACCAAAAUAAAUUUCUUAACUACUAAAAAUCUCAAACUAUUAUACCUACAACAACUACUAAAAAUCUCAAACCAAUACACAUAUGACAAAAAGGGGAUAAAACCUUAGACUAGUAAACCGUCAAUUAUCACAUGUCAUUUAACUCAGCAGUUUGACGGUAAUAUUUAACGGAAAUUAAUGGUAGAUAAAUUUGUCAUAAGUUUGGGAUUUUCGGUGGUCAAAAUAUUAGUUUGGGGUAAAUUUAUCAUAUAUGUAUUAGUUUGGAAUUUUCAGCGAUUGAAAAAUUAGUCUGGUUUCGUCGUAUUAACUCUUAAACAAAAUGCGAUGAAUAAUGAUGAGAGCAUGGAUUCUCUCUAUCUGUUGGUUCAUUCCAUUCGUAUAAAAGCACCACGUCACAGCCUUUUGCAAGGGGUUAUAUAAUAUAUAUUAAUGUUGAGUUUCUACAAAGUGUUUGAUAUUAUGUGACCCAGAAUGGCUUUGCAAUCAAUUCACUCUAGUCAAUUCGCUCUACUCAAAAUGGGUUUUUUCUUCAUGAUCCAUGACCAUUAAUCUUUCUCCAUACAAUGUGGAGACAUUAGACGAUUCAUGACGUACCUUCCAAGCUCGUCCAUAGAAUUCUAACCGAAGUUACGGACUACUCAAUGCGAAAGUUCGUCGAAUGAGAUAACUAUGCGAGUCAUGUCACCGACAAAUCGUACUAAUAAUUGAUAACGAUUUCUCGAGAUAUUUAUAUCCGUCACAGCGCUCAUCCACGAAAUUGACUCCAAACUUAUUCACGCGGUUGCUCCAGUCCACAUCGAGUCCUUUUCAUUUCGUUGUCCAUGUACUUGAGCAAUACAAGUUUUUACAAUGGAGCAAUGGAAAAUUAGAUUGAGCUCGUCUUUCGAUUUCCAUCUCAACUACGUCCAACUAACUAGGGCAAAAAGUCCUCGAACGGUCGAUUAUACGAGUCAUGUAGCAGACAAAAGUAACAAUAAUUGCGAACAAUUUCUCAGAAAAUUUGUUUCUUUUACGAAGCUUAACGAGGAAAUAGCCAAGUCCACCCGAAAUCGUUUUCAUUUCAUCGUCCAUUUACUUGAGUAGUGUAAUUUGUCACGAUGGCGUAGUAGAAACCCAAUACAGAGAGCCUUCUGAACAAAGAUAGUGAGACUAUCUGCCAAUAAAUAAACAAAUGAAAACAUAACGUUUCUCUAUAUUAUGCGCCUAAUUCACAACAAAGUUUAAACUAACUCAUAAGCGCUUAUAUUUUGUGUCUGUCCAAUUCAAUAUUAUAAUAUAUACUAGUGAGAUAUCUGUGUACGGGUCUAAGAUUAUAAAAUUAUAUCUUGUAAUACCUAAAUUUUAGCGACCCCUUUUAGUUAUUCAUUGCAUAAGGAAUAAACACAAAUUACUAAAAAAAAAAUUAUUAUUAAUUUACAUUUGCAUAUUAUUUAAUGACAUUGGGCCCACAUAAAUCGCAUUCUAAUUAGCCUGGUGCUAAAAGGGUUAAAAACAAGCAGAUUCUAAGCUUAAUUAAAUAAUUUGGACCCAGCCCGCUAGAGCAUAUGAAAUUUGGUCAAGCCCAUUGAAAUACCUAUGGUGGUCGAGGCAUGAAAUUUGAUCAAGCCCGAUGAAUACCUAAGGUGGCCGAAAUUUACAUGCAGUGUGCGCGUGGGAGAUGCCAAAUUAGGAGAGAUUGCAUUAUCAAAUUAAUUUGGGAGAGGAUAGAGUUAAUAUCUUUUAAAAUUGUAGUCAUGAUGAAGAGAAGUACUUUAAUUUCUUAUUGUGGACUUAUCACAUAUUCUCUUAAUUUGAAUUGGGAAAUUAGCAUGUUUCUUAUUCUAGCAAGAAUGCUCUAAUUCCUCACCAUAUAUGUGUAGACCAGAGUCAUCCGUUUUUUAAAUUGAGUGAUGUCUGAUUCGAAUCACCAUUGGAGGCAAAUAUCUUCAAUCACGGGUCAAAAUAAUUUAGCAAUGUUUGUAGAUAACUAGCAUGCACAACACAAUUAGACCCUCUCAAGAAGCCACAUAUUCCACCUCAAUGCAAGCUGCAUCUAUUAAUGUUAUGAAUAAUCCCACCCAAACCCAAUAAAUCAUUCCCAAGAAGCUACGAGUGAAAGUUAUCAUGGCAUAGCCAAUUUCAUUAGCUAGGAGAACAUGAAACUGGUACUUCAAUUGCCAUAAUAAGUUUUUACAAACAAAUUGAAUAAAAACAAAACCCACUUAUGGUGGUGAAUAACUUAAAACCGGCUUUUGCCGAAAUUGAUGAGUUUGGGUGAGGAUGCAAAAUUGCAUAAGAGCACGUGCUUUGAAGUUUGCUGAUGAAGAGGCUACAGAACUGAAGCGCGCAAUUUGCAAUUUUGCAAAACUGCAGAAGUUCCCGAAUAUCUUUAUGUUUGCUUUUUUUCCUAAAUUGUUCAAAUUGUUUUGCAUCUAUGCAAGCUUGUGUGUGAGGAGUCUGAUGCAUUUUGUCAAGAAGGAGGUGAGCAAGAUGAAGAAAGAAAGAAAAGAAAAACAAAAAGGAAAAAGGAAAAAAGUCCUUAGACGAAAACACUCCUAGCUGCAAAUAAGAUUUGACUGGCUUAUAAGUUGAGACCCUUAUUUGAGACUAAAUUGGUCACUUCAUGCUUUUAUUUGAGACAAUGUCCACUUUAGGCCAUUUUUUGAGAAAUUGAUUUUACUUCAAGUUCUUAAUUGAAAUUUUCCCUAUUCUACAAAAUAUGAAGAAAUAUGUCUAACACAACCUAAAAAACCCAAACAUAAACUUCAGCAAUAAAGAAUUUGGAAAAACAAACAAAAGCCAAAAACACUUUGGAGAUACGACAUAAAAGAGAAAAGUGCCCUGAAAACAUGCGUUAACGAAGAUGAAUUUUGAGGUUCGAAACGAUUGUAAGAGGUGUACUCAAUUCGAUACAGGUAUAAUGCCCAGAACAAGCUUUUCAGAUUGAAUUAUGGGACUCGUAACUCUUUCUAGAGAAAAAUUGUGGUCAUUUUCUCACACACUAGGCAGAUUGUUGUCCUGAGUUCGUUUGCAACAAUCCAAAAAGCCAUUAGCAGCCGUAUUUGCAUCAACCGUGUUAGCUUUUUUUUUUUUUUUUUAACUAUUGUACUGGCAAAAAUAUCUUUUUUACUUUUCUUCCCCGCUUUCCAGCCCCUCGGAUGAUUUCGUCCAAUGAGACUUGCUGAAAGUAUAGGUCAAUAUUGCCCAUAAAAUAAGCAUAUAACCCAAAGUUUUGUCGCCAAUUAUAAACCACCUAAAUUUAAUACCUAGCAAGUUCCGUUAUAUAUAAUACAAACUAAAUGUCUAAAAAUCAACUCGUAACUGGAGGUUGCGUUUUCUCUCUACGAAAUGUAGAGUCCUUCUACCUUCUUGGUAGGUUUCUUUCGCAUAUUUUCCCAGUUUUUACAGACUCAUCUCGAAGCUCACUCAGUUGGAUAUCUUAAUCCGAACAAUUUUACAUCUCCACCUCACUCCCUUCUUUCAUCCCCUUCUUCAAUGACCUCCACCGACCUUUUCUUGCGGCUUGCAUGUCACGAUCGGGUUGCUCGACAGUACCCUUUUACUUUGAUUCUCCCUGGUUUUCUUCUCGGCCGGUCGAAGAACGGUUUUGACAAGCUGUUCUUUUACUUCCACUGCUGGAUCUUGUUCUACUAAGGGUUUCUUCAGAAUUUAUUUGGUCUCCAAGUCAACUAUGAAUCGAUGAACUGCUGAUGAUGAAGCUCGCCUGGGGGCUUUAUGCAAUUGAAUGGGUCGCCUAUGGUCAGAACAAGCAGUGGAGGUCUGGGACGACGCAGCACCUGUUGACAAAAUUGAGGAAUGUCGGUUAGUUUUAGUCGGUAAGAUUUUAAAUAAUCCUAAACUUUCAGGCAUUUCAUAAUACUAUGAAAAAGGUCUGGGGCACUGAAUUUGUGGACAUUUCCCUAGGCGACUCUGGUUUAUAUAUAGUAAAAUUCAAAUCUGAGGAGGUAAAACAGAGGGUGUACGAAAAUUGACCUUGGCAUUUUGCUAACCAUAUGGUCAUGUUAAAACCCUAGAUAGCGAAUACACCUUUGCAUUGCUACAACUUCAACACCUGUGAGCUUUAGGUCCAAGUUUAUGGUUUGCCAUUGGAAAGAUGUAUUGAAAACAUGCUAAGUAAGGUUGCUGCUCACAUAGGGAGAGUAACAGAAGUGCGCAUAGAGAAUAAGGAUGGAUCUAUGCUAAAAACAAGAAGGGUCCGGGUAGAAUUCAAUCUUCAAUAGGCGCUCAUGACAGGGAUAUUAAUCAAAAUUGAAGGAAAGAAUUUCUGGCUUGAUUUCAAAUAUGAAUGACUUUGUCACUAUUGCUUUUCAUGUGGUAAGCUUGGCCACUAUGCCAUGCAUUAUGCAGAGUUUCCAUACGAUGAGAGCAAUAUGGCAAAGAAUGAUUGUUUCCUCUAUGGCUCAUGGCUAAGAGCAGAGGAUCAGGACCAUAGCCCGUUCUGGCGUACCUUUUAUGACACGAAUCCAUCCCCAGCUGAUGUUGACGAGACUAUCUCGGAGACUCCUCCAUCUCCUUCGGCAAUUAUCCUUGUUCAAAAAGAUAAAGGAAAGCAAACAAUGGAGGCAAUGGAGCCUAAUCAUCCUAUUAUUGCUGCAACUCCUAUUAGAUGGCAAUCUAUGGUACCGAAUGCAUUAGAGAGUCAAAAUGUUCAACAUAAACUUCUGGCUAGUAGCAUAACAACAAGCACUAUACAGUCUAAGAAGAUUAAGCACUCACGUCUUACCGCACGAUCUGGACCUAUUAAGAAGGCCAAAAAACUCAUUAGCCCUGACGUUCGUACUCAACUCCAAGAGAAUCUUGAUGAAUCUGUUUUGCAGGAAACUCCUAUCUAUGAGGCGGAUGGUUCUACUUCUUGGGCCCUGGUGGCUGGCCCUAAAAAGCCACCAGGUGAACAAUGAAAAUAAUAAGUUGGAAUUGUCAGGGGCUGGGCAACCCCCUGACAGUUCAAGCACUCAAGGUCUUAGUGACCCAAGAAAGGCCCGAUUUGGUAUUUUUGAUGGUAAUGAAACAUCAGGAACAUAAGCUUAUACACUUGCAAAGGAAACUUGGCUUCUCAGCUAGUUAUAUUGAAAAUCCAGUGGGACUAGCAGGAGGUGUCGCACUUUUUUAGAUUGCUAGAGUGGAUGUGACAGUGAUCUAUAACUCUGCAGACAUGAUUGACUCUAUUUGCACUGACCUGGAUUUGGGGAUUCUUAUGCGUCUCACUUGCCUCCAUGCUCCUGUAAGUUAUCAGCUUCGACAGCACCUGUGGACAGCAUUAAGGCAAAUCAGUAGCUUUAAUACCCUGCCUUGGCUGUGUCUAGGUGACUUUAAUGAGGUAAUGUAUCCAUGGGAGAAAGUAGGGAAGAGACUUGCUGAGACCUAUCGCAUGCAUUCAUUCCGUGAUCUAAUUAAUCAUUGUUUUCUAAUGGAUUUGGGAAACAAAGGCCGCUCCUAUACUUGGUCUAACAAUCGGACUAGCGAUGACAUGGUUAAGGAACGAAUAGAUAGGAUGCUGUGGACGAAGGACUGGAGACUAACCUACCCCCCGGCUAAGGUGUUGGCCCUUCCAACCCUAGGAUCUGACCAUAGUCCUAUUCUGUUGUCUACUGCAGCAAAUCAGCGAUCCAAAAGGGCAAUGUCUUUCUACUUUGAAGCAUAUUGGUUACAAGAUCUACAAUGUCGUACGACUAUUAUCGACUCUUGGACAUCUUACAAACCCGGCGAGGCGACACUACCCCAAAAGUUAAAAGCUGUCUCAGUGGCUAUUUUAAAAUGGAGCAGAUCCAAAUUCAGCAAUGCCAAGGAUUAGAUUUCCUACCUCAAAAAUCAGCUUCAAGCUCUGACAAAUCAGCCCCAUGGCCAGUAUGAUACAACUGUGAUAUCAUACCUGAAAGAGAAAAUACAUCCGUUAUGGCAGCAGGAAGAGAAAUUUUGGGCUAUGCGAUCACGUGUUAAUUGGCUUCAAUGGGAGGAUAGGAACACCAAAUUUUUUCAUGCAACCACUGUUUAGAGAAGACAAAACAAUAAGAUAAGCAUGCUGUAGGAUGAUCAACAAAUGUGGGUAUGUGACCCGAAUUCUCUCAAGGAGAGGACUGAUAAAGCUAGUAUGAGCACCUAGAGGGGGGAGAAUAGGUGCAGAAACAAUUUUGCGAGAUAUGUGCAGUGCUAAUCAACAAUAGAUUAUGAAAAGGAAAUUCUUCUCUUGUAAACAAAACGAGUUACGAUCAAAGUAAAAGAGUAUAGGGAAGAAAAUAUGAACACAGAGAUUAUAGUGGUUCGGCUUAAUCCAAGCCUACGUCCACUCUUCCGCACUGAUAGCCCACCGGCUGGAUUUCACUAUGAACAAAAGAGUUAUUAUAGAAAAGCUCUGCCUUGAUUCCACAGUGUAGAGACUCUACUACACUUCCUCAAGGUCUCUCAAGAUAUAGACUCUCUUUUGCAUACAAGAUUUUGCUCAACAGUUUAAUUGACUAAGAACAAGGAGCUUCAGACUUUGGAAUUCUUCUAUCGUGCACACACUCGAACAACUGGAACGUCUUCCUUAUAUACGCCUUUAUGCCAUCAUACCCGUUGGCACUUACCAAAGGAAUUCUUCCGAUAUACCCGUUGGAUAGAAUCAAUUAGGAAGAUCUUCGAGCUAUUUAAGGAACAUGACGAUAGCCCAUCAAUUCUGCUCGCCCAUACAAUUGAGAUCUUGGUUUCUAUAAGUAGAACCUUCCAAGUAUACUUCGUCAAUCAACGGAUCCAUAAUUCCCGAAUCAAUCUUGAUUAGAACAAUGGAUUCCAACAUGCUAUAUCCAGCCAAGAGAUCUUCUCCAAUCGAUAAAGUCAAAUCUUUGACGAAACAUCCAGUUCUGGAUAAGUCUUCUUCAACGGACUAGAAGUUGUCAAUGAGGAUAGACUUUGAGUCUUGAGUCUGGCAGUUCGGAGGUCUUCAGACUUUGAUAGAAGAGUCUGCAAGUCUUCAGACUAGACUGAUGGAAACGUUUUGUUAGCUUCAAAAUACUUAAGGAAGUUUUCUCCAGCAAUCUCCCCCUUUUUUAUUGUGACAAAACUUUCCUGCAGAUUUGGAUAACUUUGACCUGCAAACCAUUACUCAAGCAAAUAUGGAUCUCACAAAGAUAAAUAGCUUAGUAAUAACACUAGAAUCUGCAUCCACUGAAAAUAGGUUAGUCUUGUAGAUGAACAAAGCCAUAAAGCCAUGAGGUAUCAAUAGUACUUAAGAUAAACAAAUGUUCAAUCAGUUAAACCCAAAUCCAAUCCAAAUCCAAACAGCUAAACAUAAACAUCACAAAAGUCAAUAGUUCAAAAGUUUAAAGUUUAAAUCAAAUCUGCACCACACCACAUCUCUCCCUCUUUUUGUCAGCAUUAAAAGGGUAGAGAUGAAAAGAGAAUGAAAUUAAGAUGGCUUGGGAAUACGAACAAGCUGGAAAUCUCCCAUUGACUGGACAAUACCUUCCAGCUUUUUUAAGUCCUCCUUCAGUUGAGCCACAUCUUCACCCUUAGCAUUAGCUUGAACUUAAAGAGCAAGGGCUUGGAUUUGAUCAUGCAAAGAUACUGAAGAGGCUUGUCCUGUAUUCUGCAAAUUCUGUACUUCAUAUCCCAUAGCAUAUAUUUGACCUUUCAUCUCUAAAAGAACAUCAAGAAUUCUGCGGAAUUCUGCGAAAUUCUGCUGAAUUAUCAGUCUGAGUACUGGCAUCUGCACAAUCAGACGGUGUGUAGGAAGAUGAUGGUAAAUCAACAUGGUCACGCAGAUUAGGCGAUGAAACAUCAUGACCCUCCUCAGGAAAGUGAGAAGCAUAGAUGUCCUCUGGAUCUGCUAGAAAGCAAUUUACUCCUUCAUUGGUGGCAGGGAUGGAGGAUGUUCCUCUUUUCUCAGGAUCUCCCCCUGUUUCCAUGCCUUCAGGUGGAGAAGAGUGUUCAUCAUGCUCUUUUUCUACUCUCUCCUCUUCUUCUUUCUCAAAAUCUUCACUUUCUCCAGUCCUCUGUUCUGUUUCAACCGUGACUUUUUCCUGUCUCUCCGUUGAUUUUGGUGCAGAACGACUCAAGUUCUUCAAACCCAUUGCAGAAAUGGUGAUAUCAUCCUCAUCUUAUUCAUCCUCAAGGAGGAGAGCUCUUCUUUUCUUGGAUGGAGCAACCAUGGGCUCCUUCCCUUUUCUUUUUGCAGCCGAAGAGAUUUGAUGAGGCUUGACAGGGGUUUUCUCCUUGAAUUUCUCCAACGCCUUGUUGAGUUCCUUCAGAUGCAUUUUGGAAACCAUUUUCAGUCCCACCACCAUUUGAUCGCACGAUUGAACAGAGAGAAUUCGGGGAAGUUGAACGUUCAAAUGUCUGAAUAACUUGGUCACAAGAGCUGCGUACGGGAGUUGACCCUUGUCCUUCACCACUGCCCUGUACAUGUGGAACAUAAUAGUGUGUUGAAGAGAGAAUUUUUUACCAGCAUUGAUGGCAUACAUCAGCUUUGCCUCUGAGUUCGAAACAUCAGUUUUUGAAGUUGAUUUCAGUCUGAGGCAGUUAAUCACAAUCUUGUGAAGCAAAAUGUUUGUUGCAUUCAUCUUCGAAUAGGAAAUCUUUUAUUCCGUUCUUCUAUCCUUAACAAGUUCCAACGUUGCACGAGCAAUAGACACAAUGAUAGGUUGAUAUUUCCCUCUUUCAACCCCAAUCACAUCAGCCAAUGUAUUCAUGUCAACCACAUAGUCCUGAUCUCGAACACUAAAAGAGAAUAUAUUCUCAUCCAAGAAAAUGAGAUUCGAAUAGAAAUAAGCAGUAAUUUCAGCAUAACCUUCUGUAGAUUCAGAACAAAACUGUUCGAGUUGAAGAAGACUAAAUUUUUCCCACAGAUUGACAUUCACAGAGUCAAGAAAAUCAAAAUCUACACUUCUAGGUUUAUUACCCCACGCUUCAGUAACUUAGCAUACAGUUGCUUGUGGUCAUCCGAACGAAAUAAGUCUGUCCUUUUACUUCGGAUUUUUGCUGAAACACCCAUUCUUGGUUUAAACUGACUGUACAUCCUAUCAUCGGCAUUCCCAUCAGGCUGGCUCAGCCCUCCAACACAUGGAUCGGUUGGGAUAUUUGCCAUUGCUUUUUCCGCCGAUCCAGCAGGGGCAAUUCCCAAACGUUCCAUUGUGCGUAGAAAAUAGGUUUCAUUUCGAUACCCUUUAUCUUUCAAAAAUUCGUCAAUGUAGUUCAAAGGAGUACCACACUCUUCAAAGCACGGUAAAGCUUAUAAGUAAAGCCAGGCUUAAGAGUUCUUACGGGUUCUGCGUCUUUGAUGAUUUCUUCUUCUUGAUGUGCAACAUUCUGAGGUCUAGAAGGAGAAUAUGGACGCUGCUGAGAAUGUUGUGGGCUCUAUCGCUGAUGAGGAGAAUCUUCUUCCUCGAUGAGAUCAAAAUGCAUAGGCCUCUCAUGCAUUUGCUGUGGUCCCUUGUUCGCGAUCCUUGAAGACUUUCUUUGGGAUGACAUCUUUCACAGUCUUUGAGAGAUUCCAAGCUUGUUUUCCAAGAAAGAUGACAACUUUUCGAAGAUUAAAUAAGUGAAUAAGACAAAAGUGAACGAUCUGAGUUCUCCUAGGGUUUUGUGAGUAAAACGAAGAGGAACAGACAGUAUAUAGGACAGUCAAAGAGAGGCAUACAGAGCGUCGUAAAGAAGAAAUAUAAAGAUGCCCCUUUUUAAAAAUAACUACAUUUUCAAAAAUUAGAUAACUGCCAUUUUUAAAAUUAACUUCUUUUUUGAAAAGGAAGGAUUGCCAUAAUCACAGAAAUUGAAAAUAGUAACAAUCAAUUACGAAUAUAUGAUCGUACCUUUUCGAGAUUUGAUCUAAGAGGAAAUAAAAUAAAAUAUCUUAUAGUCAAAAAUCUUGAUCGUUUGAGUCUGAGUGUCUUUAGACUUUCAGUCUUGGGUCUGAACUUCCUCAGACUUUAAGAUAUUGAGUCUGGAACGAAUAACUUCAAAUUGAUUUUUCUCCAAAGGCUUUGUAAAUAUAUCCGCCAGUUGAUUCUUUGAGUCAAUAAACUGAAUCGAAACUUCUCCGUUUUGAACAUGAUCUCUAAUGAAGUGAUGUUGAAUCUCUAUAUGUUUUACCCUUGAGUGAAGAAUUGGAUUUUUGGUGAGAUUGAUUGAGGCAAUGUUAUCACAUUUGAUUUCUGUGCAUGAAUCUUCGAUUCCAAAGUCUCUUAACUAUUGUUUUAUCCACAGAAUUUGUGAACAACAACUUCCAAGAGCUACAUACUCUGCUUCUGCUGUGGAGAGAGCUACAGUACUUUGCUUCAUUGAAAACCAAGACACUGUCCUGCUUCCAAGUAGUUGACAGGUGCCUGAAGUGCUCUUUCUAUCAACUCUGCAUCCGGCUAGAUCUGCGUCUGAGUAUCCAAGAAGAACAAAGUCUCAUUCUUUAGGAAACCAAAGACCCACGCUUGAAUUUUAUCCAGCAUGCGCAGCAAUUUAUAUUUUAUUUGGGACUUAUUAUUCUAUGUGAAAAAAGAGCAAUAUAACUUUACAUAUACUAAGACAGAUAAGAAGAUACCUAUAGUUACGUACCGGGAGUGAAUGAGAUAGGAUGUGAACCCAGAGUUUAACAAGUAUCAAGGCGUCAUCUUACCUGGUGAUAUGAGGAGGUUGCUUUUCUAAGACUCAAACCAUUCUUCGGUUGCCUGUUAAAAUAAUCAAUAAUUUUUCUAGGACCUAAACCUCUCUUCGGUCACCUUGACGGGAAAUUGCCUUUCCAGGACCCGAACCAUUCUUCGGUCGCCUGUCAGAGCAAUAAGUGAUUUGCCUCGGACCCGAACGUUUCUUCGGUCGCCGUGACGGUAAAAUGCUUUUCCAGGGCCCGAACCAUUCUUCGGUUGCCUGUCAGAGCAGUAAGUAGUUUGUCUCGGACCCGAACCUUUCUUCGGUUGCCAUGACAGGAGAUGCGCCGACCUUUCUCAGGGCAUCUAUUUGUGGGUGCCUGAUCUGUAUCGAGGACACCAAUUGAUAGCUGACCUUUCUCGGGAGAUGCACCGACCUUUCUUAGGGCAUCAUAUUUGUUGGGGUGUCUGACUUCUGUCAAAGACACCGGUAGGAACCCGACCUUUCUCGGGAGGAUGCACCGACCUUUCUUAGGGCAUUGAUUUGUGGGGUGUCUGGCUUCUAUCGAAUACACCAAUUGGAACCUGACCUUUCUCGGAGCAUCAAUUUGUUGGGUGCUUGAACAUUUACAGGCAUUUUGAAAGAGUACCUGGAUAUUCACAAGUACUAACCUAGAGGAUAUUUAGGCCUUUACAGGCAUCGAAAGGGUACUUGGAUGAUCACAAGUACAAACUCUUGGAGGAUACUUGGACGUUCACAGGUAUCGAAGGGGUACUUUUAUGAUCACAAGUACUAGAUGCUGGAAAAUACCUGGUUACUUGCAGGUAUCGAAAGAGUAAUUGAAUGGUCACAAGUACAAACUCUUGGAUGGUGCCUGGAUGUUUGCGGGCAUUGAAGGAGUACCCGAUUACUUGCAGGUGUCGAAAGAGUACUUGGAUGAUCACAAGUACAAACUCUUGGAGGAUACCUAGACGUUCGCAAGUAUCGAAAGGGUACUUGGAUGAUCACGAGUACAAAUUUUUGGAGGAUACCUGGACGUCCAUAAGUAUCGAAGGGGUACAUGGAUAAUCAUAAGUACCAAACUCUGGAGAAUACUUGGUCGUUUGUUUAAAGUCUCCUGAUAGAUGGAAUAUUGAGGACGUACCUGGGAUAUUUGUAAAGGUUUCUCACCUUCUGGUAAUGGGAAUAUCGAUGACGUACCUGGGAUAUUCAUGGAGGUCUCCUACCUCCUAGCAAUUGAGAAAUAUCAAUGACGUACCUUGGAUAUUCAUGAAGAUCUCUCACCUCCUAGUAAUUGGGAAUAUCGAGAGCGUAUCUAAGAUAUUCAUGAAGGUCUCUCACCUCCUGGUAAUGGGAAUAUCGAGGAUGUACCUUGGAUAUUCAUGAAGGUCUCUCUGUUAGGGAAAUCCCUUAUGAUGUUUUGAAGAUGACAAAAUAAAUCAAAGGCUACUAACAUAUUUGAUGGUUGAGUAAUAGGCCAUGCAGAUGUUAGAACAUGUAGAGGAUAUUAUCAAAGUCUGAAGACUGCCAGACUCAAGACUCAAAGUCUGAAGACUGUUAGACUCAAGACUCAAAGUCUGAAGACUGUUAGACUCAAGACUCAAAGUCUGAAGACUGCCAGACUUUAGUGUCAAAGUCUGUUCUACAUCAAAAGUCUGUUUACUCUGACAAAUUCCAGACUGAACGUGAAUGAUGAACCAGAAGACAGACUCUAUGCUGAAGCUGAACUGGGUACAAACCUUAAAGCUAAAUCUGUUCAGAAGCAGAUAUGUUCAGACUCAGAUUGUAAAGUCUACAGACUCAUAUUGUAAAGUCUACAGACCCAGAUUGUAAAGUCUCAAGACUCAUAUCGUAAAGUCUAAAGACUCAGACUUUACAUCCAGAUUCAAUGAAUCGUAACUCAAGCCCAAUCAUACAACGGCUAGUGAUCUGGUUUGGAUUCCACAUCAAGAUUGAUUUGAUUGAUUCAAUCUAAUUGAUUGAUGAUUGGAUCUUGAAGACAAGAACUUUCUAAACGAAGAAGCUUUACUUAUGGAAACCAAGAUUUCGUUUGUAUGGGCGAUCGGAAUCAAUUUGGAAUUUUACCUUUGUCACUCAACGGCUACCAAAUCUUCUAGAUACAGAGCUGUCCAAUGGGUAUAUUGGAAGACGAUUCUCCGGGAUACUGUCCAACGGUAGUUUGGAAGUGGAGGAGUAUUUAAGAAGAUGAAGGACUGAUGAGCAAGUAAGAGACGGAGCGUAGAAUUUAUAAUUCCAAAGUCUGAGCGACUUUAGAUCAUAUACUUAUCUCUUGAGAGCUUAAACGUUUGUAAUCGUGAGAGAAAUACCAAGAGAGUGACUUAGUGAGAUAGUGUGAUCUACUAAGUAUUUGCACUCGGAGUUGUAAUCUCUUGUUGAUUGCAUAGUGGAAUCCAGCCAAGAAGGCUGUUAUCGUGGGAGAGUGGACGUAGGCUUGGAUUAAGCCGAACCACUAUAAAUCUCGUGUUCUUAUUCUCUUCCCUAACUCCUUUAUUUUGUUCAUACUAGCACAAGGUCUCUCACCUCUUGGUAGUAUAAACUUGAAUGUGGUAUGAGGCUUACCUGGCUAGCCACAGGCACUCAAAAGGGUUGGGACGCCUGGGUAGACGCAGGUGUACAAAGUAGUGGAAUACUUGGAUGAAUACAAAUAUUUAAUGAUAUGAUCAGGGACCACUCAACUGGUCCAAGUGUAAGAAAGUAUACCUGGGUAAUCGCAGGCGCAUAAUGUGGUGGAAUACUUGAGUGGCUGCUAGCAUUCAAUGACACAAUUCUGAGGACAACUCAGACCAGUCGAGUGUCACGAAAAUGGAGUAUCCGAACAAGGGUUGGUACUCAAAGACGAAGGGAUACUUGGACAGUUGCAAAUAUCAAUAUUCUGGGGACAACUCAAACAUGGUGAGUGUCAAUAAGAGAGAGUACUUGAUGAGUGGUGGGUUCUCAAAGAUUAUUAGACAUAAAGCUCUGGGAGUGAGGUUGGGGAUGUGCUUUCUUGAUGAUAUCUCUAAUCUCUAAGAGCGUGCUUGUUGUUUGCACAAUAUGCACACAUACACACAAUGAAUAUAUGUGCUGCAAAUUCAUAAAUUCAAAUGUGAUUUAUGCAUGACAAUCUUGUCAGUUUUGUAUCAUUCGAAUUCCACUGGGGUAGAUUUUGAAAGACAACCUUCAUUUAGAAUGUAGAUGUCUUGAGCAUGCCAAAUGGGGGACUUUCAAUUUGAAAGGACUUUUCACUUACUCUCAUGGGAAAGGCUGUUUUAUCCUGACCAUUGAUGCAUGAUUUAUAAGGACCACAUUAUCUCAUUGUCAUCAUGUCAGCAAGGGUCUGAGUAUUCUCGUGAGUGGUACGACUUUACCAAUGUGAGAGGUCUUUGUUGAAAUUGUGAUGAAGGCUUGGUCAAUGGCUUAUCAAAGGGGACCAACGAGGUCAUGGCUCUGUGAAAAAGAUGCCGCAUGCUCCUCUCCAGGUUUGCAAGUCAAGAAUCCUACGAAAAGAGAUAGAAUAAUCUUGCCCGUACUUCUUCGAGCGAUGCUUAUAGACAUAUGAAAUCCUACGUUAAUUGAAGUGCCCCUAGUCUGAAGAGACUUUUUACAGUGGGAUGAAAUGUAGGCUUGACUCGUGUAGGCUUGACUCGUGUAAAAAGGUAAGAGCUGGCAAUCGCCUUGGUAUUUGUCACCGGUCUUUCUUCUCACAGUCAGAUGAAGGUUCCAUUAAUGGAACCACAACAGCAACUUCUCUCGGGAAUACAAACAAUUGUAUUUUUUGUUUAGAGACAUUGGACCUUGCUUUUACCAAGCACACUACUUUUUUAUGUCCAUAGUUUUUGCUUUUGUUUUUUAUCCACGAGCAUUGACCUUGCUUUUACCAGGUACACUGCAUUUUUAUGCCCCUAUUUUGUUCUUGUUGUUUGAGAGCUGAUCUUGACAAGUUCAAGCAAACGUCUUUGUUAGACUAUUGAGUCUUCAUCUUUUGCCAGUGCUUUUGAUUAUGCUGCUCAAACGGCAGUAGCUUCUGUUUUGCCUCAAUGUGAGGGUGAAUUUACAGACUCAAUUGAGUUGUACAAUGGAUACAAGUGCGUAUAGAAAGAAUUGCUCUUCAUGACUCUAGGACACUUAAAUUAACGCGAGUGUUCAUAUGCAAUAAAGACACUCGAAGAUUGAUGCAAGUGCAAGCAAGAGAAAUUCUAUCCCUUUUCUCACCUCGUGAUGUUGACUUGCCAUUGACUUGCCCCAGUGUGGGGUGGUUCUUUGAUGGGGGUAGUUCAAAAAUUUGCCAGUGUAUGGGGCUCAAAGUGAGCGAUGGAAUGCCUCUCACUAUUUUGAUCAUCGUACCAUUUGCAAGAGAACUCUUUACCCUAUAGUCAUGGAAUUUUCUGCACUCAUCUCACAAGUGUAUAGAUGGGGGACUGUGUGUGGGAUAUGGCUUGCCUGUCAUCAUUCUGACGCACCUCAUCCAACAUGCUCAAUUAAUCUUGUAUUCUUCACUUAGCAGUCUAUUCUAAUAACCCUUAACAGAAUAAAAAAUUUAGAUAGACAAAAUUUUCAUGCAAAAUUCAUUUAGAAAAAGGCAUGCAAUAUAUGAUGUGAUAGAGUUUGUAUUCUUAGCAUAAUUUGCUCAAAAGGAUUCUAUUGACAGCUUUAGGGGUAAACAUAUAUUAAACCUUGAAUGUCAAAAGGAGUAUUCACAAAAGGGUGUCGAUGAAUUGUCCCUAUUGAAUAGGGAGAUGUCACAUGAAUAAUCAUCUAGGGGUUGAUAAUUUGAUCGGACGUCUUUGUUUUUUCCCCGGGCUUGGAUCACUUGGUUUGCCCUAUUUAACUAUUUAAUUUGACUCUUGAAUCCCAAUGCUUCCUGUCAAUAUGAGUUCAGAGAGUGAGUGUUAGAAAUGAUGCCAAGUUACCUUUCCCCCAAAGUUUAUUUGUGAUGGCUCUUAGGGAAGUUGCUGACGGCCUCUUUUACAUUUCAAUGCUUCCUUCGACUAGCCUUUCCUACUUGUGGCCACAUAUGCAUGAUUGUUGGUCGUUGAUUGAUUCUCAAUGCUUUCCUUCUGUGGAAUUUUUCCUUCUGCCUUUGAUCAGGCAAAGUCAUGUACCUCAAGCUUCUAUGGAAUUUGAGAUAGACAAUCAAAACUUCCAGUUUUCUAAUAGCAAUUACUUUUUGCAAGAGCAUGUGUUUGGAACAAGAAGUGAGGCUUCUAGAUUCUAAGAUUGUUGACUGGGACAGAAGGUUCCUUCUAACCAGACUGGUUCCUGAAUGACGUGUCCUUUACACCGAGCUGGGUGAAAUUGACAUGGAUUACUCUUACGCGUCUGCUUGGGUAAUGUCGAUUUGCUCAAGUUAUGCCAUUGAGUUUGCUACUUGAUUUUCAGCACUUCCUUAAAUGUUGGUGAUUACCAUUCAUUUUUCUUCAUUGAGUCAACCGAACACACAUUUUUUAUGAUGGUGUAAAUACAUCACUCAUAUAUAAAGGUGCAUAGGCGUUUUCAUUCUGAUAGAGAAGUGCUUGGCAAUGCCAGACAAUGAACAUCUUUCAAGGGUAGUACUUUUUUACAGCAUCGAAAUUAACUGGUUUAGAGAAUUCUUGCCCAUCCAUCUUAGUUAGGAUCAAGGCUUCUCCGGGGAGUAUCUUCUUUAUUACAUAAGGACCCUUGUAAUUUGGGGCAAACUUGUCUCCGGGCUCUGAAAAGAUUGGCAGCGUCUUUCUCAAGACUAGCUCGUUUACCUCGAAGUGCUUGGGUCGCACCUUUUAAUUAAAUGAUCGAGCUACCUUUUGCUGAUAACAUUGACUGUGAUAGAGCGCUUUCAAUCGCUUUUCAUCGAUCAUGUUCAGCUGCUCGAGCCUUUGUUGUGUCCAUUCCUCCUUAGACAAUCCUGCGUGGGAUAAGAUCCGUAGGGAAGGGAUUUCUACUUCCACAGGCAAAACUACCUCCAUACCAUAAACCAGAGAAAAAGGGGUUGCCCUAGUAGAAGUUCGAAUCAAGGUUCGAUAUGCUGUCAGUGCGAAUGGUAACCUCUCAUGCCAGUCGUGGAAUUUUCAGCUGUCUUGGAUAGGAUUGUCUUAAUGUUCUUGUUGACGGCUUCCACGGCUCCAUUCAUUUGUGGACGAUAAGGGGACAAGUUCAGAUGUUGGAUUUUGAACUCAGAAAACAAUUGAUCAAUCAACUUGUUGUUCAGGUUUGACCCAUUAUCGAUGGCGAUAGCUUCCGGUACGCCAUAACGGGUGAUUAUGUCAUGUCUGAUGAACUUCAUAACGUUUCGUGCAGUUAUGCUUGCAUAGGAUGCGACCUCGAUCCAUUUUGAGAAGUAAUCAAUUGCGACCAAAAUAAUACGAUGCCCAUUUGACGCCUUCGGAUUGAUUGGGCCAAUUAUAUCAAUGCCCCACAUUGAAAACGGCCACGGCUCAGAUAACUGAUGCAAUUCAGUUAGAGGGACAUUUAUCUUGUCCCCGUGAAUCUGACAACGAUGACAGCUUCGCACAUGUUAAGCACAAUCGCUCUCUAAGGGGAGCCAGUAAUAACCUAAUCUCAUUAUUUUCUUGGCCAACAUACGUCCAUUCAUGUGAGGGCCACAUACUCCCCCAUGUAUUUCUUGCAUUAUUUGUGUGGCUUCAUCUACAUCCACACAGCUUAGCAAGACUGAGUCAUAUGAUCUUUUGUACAAAUUUUCACCACUGAUGAAGAACCUCGAAGCCAUUUUCAUUAGGUAUUUUCGAUCAGAGGGAGUGCUUUCUUUAGGGAAUUCCUGCUUCUAGACGUAUUUCAUGAUAUUGUAAUACCAGGGUUUUCUAUCGGAUUCUUCAAUUAUAGUCAUGUAGUGGGCUUGUCUUGCCAAGACUUCAAUCUUCAAAGGCUCUAUUUCUAACCCUCUCGUUACUUGCAACAUAAAUGAUAGCGUAGCUAGUGCAUCAGCAAACUGGUUAUGAAUUCUAGGUAGGUAUUCAAACAAGACGUCCUGGAAUUCUCCCUCAAAUUCUUCCAAGUAGUCGUGAUAAGGCACUAGUUUGGCGUCUCUUGUCUUCCACUCGCCUAAAUUCUGGAGGAUAAUUAAGACGGAGUCACCGAACACUUUUAGUUUUGACACUUCCAUUCCAAUAGCCGCUUGCAGGCCGAGGAUUCAUGCUUCAUAUUUGGCUAUAUUGUUGGUGCAUGGAAACAUCAAUUUUGCAGCCAAAGGAUAUUGUUGCCCAUUUGGGGAUAUCAAGACUGCCCCGGUGCCGGAACCUAACAAAUUUACAGCUCCGUCAAAGAACAUAGUCCAUAUGUCCUCUUCUACUGUUGAAAUUCGGUCGUCUAGAGAAUCAUCCUCGCGUACUUUUAACUGAUUUUUGCGACAUCACUUGGAUGUCGAAUUCUGAGAUCAUGAUUUGCCAUUUGGCCAAUUUUCCCACCAAGGCUGGGCAACAGAGCAAAUACUUAAUUGGGUCACUCUCAAUUACAAGGAAUGUUUGGUAAUGCAAGGUAUACUGCCGGAGUCUGUGCAACACCCAUACCAAUGCAGCGCAUGUUUUUUCUAACUUGGAGUAGUUUUGUUCCGACGUGGUGAACUUUUUACUCAAAUAGUAAAUGACUCGCUCCUUCCCAUCAUGGGGUCCUUUCUAUGCCAACAUUGCACCUAUGGAUUCAAUGUUGAUGGUAAGGUAGAGGGUCAAAGGGCGCCCUGGAGUCUGCGGUAUUGAAAAACCGAGGGUUUCAUCAGGUACUGCUUUAGAUGUUCAAACGCCAGUCGGCAGUCGUCAUCCUAUUUGAUUUGUGCAUCCUUCCUGAGAAGUUUAAAGAAAGGUUUUGCGGUUUCAGAAAGUUGGGAAAUGAAUCGCGCAAUGUAAUUUAAUCUUCCUAAGAGGCUCUGGACUUUUUUUACAGUCGAGGGAGGAGGCAUCUAAAAUAUCGCUUUAGUUUUUUAUUGGUCCACUUUUAUCCUUUCACAGCUCACAAUGAAUCCAAGUAAUUUGCCAAAAGUUGCCCUGAACACACAUUUUGCUGGGUUCAAGCGCAACUUGAACUGGCAAAGUCGAUUGAAUAAUUUUUCUAGGGUCUUCACAUGGUCCUCUCCGUGUCUGGUUUUGGCGAUCAUGUCAUCGACAUAUACUUCAAUUUCUUUAUGCAUCAUGUCAUGGAAAAGGGUGAUCAUGGCACGUUGGUAAGUUGCUCCAGCGUUUUUUAGGCCAAAAGGCAUGACCUUAUAAUGAAAAGUCCCCCAUUGAGUAAUGAAUGCCGUCUUUUCCUUGUCUUCCUUCUUCAUUUUUAUUUGGUUGUAUCUCGAGAAUCCAUCCAUGAAAAAGAAAAGUUUGAAUCUAGCAGUACUGUCCACAAGAACGUCUAUGUGAGGUAGCGGAAAAUCAUCUUUUGGGCUUGCUUUGUUCAAAUCGCGGUAGUAAACACAAACCCGGAUUUGACCAUCUUUUUUCUUCACCGGUACAAUGUUCGCUACCCAACUAGGAUUUUGCGAGACUUCAAGAAAGCCUACUUCUAGGAGCUUCAUUACUUAUUCUUCAAUCUUUUUUGACAACUCAAGCUUAGUUCUUCUUAGCCAUUGCUUCUUAGGGGCUACAUCAGGGUUGGUUGGCAAGCUAUGCUCCACGAUCAUUGGAUUGAGGCCUAGCAUAUCGGCAUAUGACCAUGUGAAUACGUCUUGAAACCUCUUUAGGAGGGCAAUUAAGCUUACAGCUUCUUCUUUAGGAAGGUUCGCGCCAAUCUUUAUCUCCCUUGGACCUUCUGUGCUGCCUAAAUUGACAAUGACGGUGUCUUCAGUAGUAGGAGGCUUUGUUUCUUCGUGGCACUUCCAAUUCCGUUGAAUUUCGUCGAAAUCAUCAAAAUCAUCAUCUGAGUCAUCAGAAUUGCUAUCAUGGCUACUUACGGUGUUGGUCUGGACCAUUCCCAUACCCUCGCCUGCCGCUAGAUUAUUCCUGUGUCAUAGAGUAGAUAGGCUAAGGGAACAAAUAAGGUUAGUAGCAUGCAUGCUUCUUUCUUUUGAAAAGGUGAUAAAUUGUUCUUGAAGAUUUAGGACAAGGAAACAUGAGGAGAUCCGGGCCUCAGAUUUCUUCUUUCAUUUGAUAGCUGGCUAUCAUCAACGGGCCGAUUUGGUGUGUCUUCUCAUGCCCUCAAAAUGUUUUCAACUUUAUUUAUUAGUAGACGAAUUUACAGGGUGAUUUCAAAAAAUAGUUCCUUGAGUGGAACUAAUGUUGAAAACAAAACAAGCCAGACUUUAAGAAAUAUGUACAGGCUCCCACGUAGGGGAGUAUGCAGAGGAAUUAAAAAGGAUUCUACUUGAGCGGGUCUGCACCCAUUUCCCCUAACGGUCCUUCGUUGAUAGCGCCCAUGAAGAAGUCUUCAUACCAGUCGCCAGCCAUGUCUCCCUGUGCUCCCGGCUUUGCGGAUUUCAAAUCAUCCAUGCCUUCCCAUCCAUCAGGGACGAUGUUGUGAUGAUGAUCAUAGAAACUUUUGGGGGAUUGAAUAAUCGACAUAGUAGUCAAAUUUACCACUUGGUUGGCCCAAAGUGUCCAUGAUUGCCUCUCCUAUACGCGCUUCCUCAGCAUGCUCAAGGAACAUGGUACAGGUGUUGGGUACCACGAGGAGGUGAUCCUUGCCAAAACACAGCCACGAAGAGCAUAACGUGAAUACCCAGCAUCCAAAAGAUCCUGAACCUUGUCUCUCAAGAUGGUGCAGUCAUCUAGCGAGUGUCCUAAUUCCCCCGAAUGAUAAUCACAUUGCUUGGAUGGAUCAUAAUCAAGGAAGUACUUGAGAGUAGGAUGGCUCAGUUCCCUGCCAAUUAUCCCUUGCUCUAGGAGGAUGGGGAAAGUAAUGGCCAUUGAUUUAGGUAGAGGCGAAUAUGGCCGUGUGCUUCUUGGGGAUAAGGGUAGCCAUGCCUCUCACUAGGUCGUGUCAGUAGGGUCUUCUUCAUUUACUACCAGCUCCUCAUUAUGACGAGAGCGGAAUGCACGGGUAGCUUGAGCGAAGUUUUCUGUCAAAUGGUGUACAGUCUCACAUAAUUCUUCAACUUGAUGUUGAAGCUGGAUGAACGAGAAGUUAUCGACUGUCUCUUCUAAUUGCUCUUCCUCAAUGGCACCUAUGAAAAUGUCCCCAAACAUGGUGGUCAUGUCAUAUGGCCCCUCUUUCUUUAUAAGUGAGGGCCAAGUUGUGUCUUCCUGGAUUAUGGGCAAUUUCGUGCUUUCGGGGUUGAACCAUUUUGAAGUAUUCACUUCCUCUUCCUCUUCCUCAUGCAUCAUCCUGGUUGGGCCUGGGAAAGUUUCCUUGAGAUGAGGACACACAAGGCCAACUUUUUUCUUUGCUUUUCUAUCCGGGGAAUAUCCUAAACCGAUAGUAUAGGGUCUCCUCAGGGCUUCAAUAGGCUGACGGAUGCCCUGGCCUCUCCUACCAAGCCCUUGUCCUGGCAUGAAACCGUGUCCAACCAUGAUUUUUCCUACCAUGAUUGCAGCGCUUGAUACCUCGGGGACAAUGGGCGAAGUCCCUCGAGUUUCGUGUAUAGUAGACACGAGCUCGAACGAUUGAUAACUAGCUUCGCUUUUGUCACUAGGUUCAACAUAAGGGAUGGUCGUCUUGUGGUAGAUGCAGUGAUCUUCUUCUCCUCGGACUGUGAUCAGUUUUCCUCCAACCACGAACUUCACAUUUUGGUGGAGGCUUGAAGGUACUACUCCUGCGACGUGGAUCCAUGGGCGCCCUAAGAGGAAAUUGAACGCAGUGGGGAUAUCCAUCACCUGGAACAAAAUUUUGAAUAUGGUUGGGCCAAUUUGAAUGUCGAGCUCGAUCUCUCCCAAUGUUUCCUUCUUUGUUCCAUCGAAUGCUCGAAUAGAAGUCUUGGGUACCGGAUCCAUGAUCUCUCUAUUUUAAGGCGACAGAGUGUCGCUAGUGGACAUAUGUUAAGAACAGAUCCAUUGUCAAUCAGCACUCGAGCGACGUGAGAUGCAUUGCACUUGACUGAUAUGUAGAGGCCCUUGGUGUGUCCUCUACCCUCCUCAGGAAUUUCUUCAUCAGAAAAUGCCAUUUGAUUUUUUAAAAUGAUGGUACUGACAAAUUCCUCAAGUUUGUUAUGCUCAAUCAUUUCAAGGACAUGUACCUUACUUAGUACUUUCAUGAGGGAUUUUUGGUGCUUGACAGAUGUCUGAAGCAAUUCCAACAGAGAGAUUUGUGCUAGUGAUUUUCGUAACUGUUCCACCAUAUUAUAUUCGCUGGCCUUAACUACGGCCAAAAACUCCUUGGCUUCUUCGUCAAUCACGAGCUUAGCAGACUGAGUAUUUGCUUGAGCAUAAGUUCACCCAGAUCUCGUGACUAAACCAACAUCAAGGUCAUAAGACCAUGGUACUGCAUUGUUGUAUUCGUAUUUGUAAGGCUGGGGAAUCUCGAUGACUAUAGCUGUUUCUGCUAUUGAUGCUUGAACAAUGGCUCUCUUCCUUUCAAGGACGCUCUCAGGUGAGGUGGAAUCCUUCUUCUCCUUUUCCACAUUUAGCGCGGCAAAUUCUUCCUCCCAGUUGAUGAGGACUUGCGAUAUGGUAGAAACUAUGCUGGCGUGGCCGGCGUACAUGAUUAUUUAGGCAUCUAUCAUUCUUAAUACCCUUUCCUCCAUUAUUGCAAAGGGUGGUAUUCCAUUGCUUGAAUAAUACCCAGCUUCUACCAACCCUCGAUAGAUGUCAACAGUAGGUAUUUUGGCAUUUCGAAUUUGACCGGCCUCUGAACUGAAUAUCGCAUUUACCUUGUCAGCGUGAUCAGGGAGCAGAUUGCUUUGGACAUUUGGCUUUGUAGUUUGGAAUGAGAAGGCCUUAGUAUCCAGUAGGCUCUGGAUCCAAUGCUUAAGGACGAAACACUCAUCAGUUGAAUGGCCUACUUCUCCCAUGUGAUAGUUACAUUUUUUGGACGGGUCAUAGCUGGAGAAGUUUUCAGCGUUGGGUCGUCUUGGCUCAGUUGAAAGGAGGCUCUUGUUUCGGAGGAUUGCUAAAGCCUGGGAGGGAGAUCCAAGAAGCAGAGUGAAUUGUCUUCGGUUGUUGUAGCGCUGGGGUGGUUGACAACCGGUGGUUUGUUGUUGCCCUGUGCUUGUUUGUACGGUUGGGAGGUGACCGGUAUUUGCAGUGUAGGUUGCAUUGACAUCUACUAGGGAUUCUUUGUCUUUUUUCAUGUUGAGCCUUCUGCUGACGGGUGCAGGUUUAGUGAACCAACCCUCCCUCAACCCUAUCUCAAUCUGCUCUCCUAUUGGAAUGAGUUGAUUGAAUGAUUCAGCGAUCGUAGUCACCAUUCGGUUACUAUAUUCAUAGGGGAGGGUUUUGAUUAACAUUUUUCUUAGUUCAAAAUCAGUUGGUUCGGGACUGAUCUGGGUGGCUAGAUUCCUCCAUCUAAUAGCAUAUUCUUUGAAAGAUUCAUGCUUUUUUCUUUUCCGUGCGCUCAAGAUCCUCACGAGAAGGGGUAAUAUCCAUUAUGAACUUGUACUAUUUGAGGAAUGCCUCACUUGCUUCACUCCAUGUUUCAAGGAGGUUUAUAUUUUUUGUGAUGUACCACCUUAGGGCAGGACCUACUAGACUUGACUGGAACAAUUAGAUCAUUAGAGGCAUAUUAUUGACUUUUUGGGUCAUUUGAACCAAGUACAUUUGCAAAUGAGCCCUUGGGCAAGUUGUGCCAUCAUACUUCUAAAACUCAGGCAUUUUGAAUUUUUCUGGCAUUUUGACCUUAGAGUAGAUGGAGAGGUCUGUUGGAGUAGGAUCUUGAAGGCCCCGCAGUUGCUUUAGCCUCUCUUCGAGCUUCUCGAGGCGUUUGUCAUGUUCAGUCUUAGACAAACUGUUGGGCUUUGCUUUCUCAACUAUGAUUUGGUGCGUGUCAUCCUAUAAUUCAGGCAUAUUAUCAUCAGUAUCUCUUCCUUGUUCACCUCGGAUAGACGAUUGUGGCAACAACACUUUGAUUGAGGCUGGGGCGAGAACCAAUUUGCCUUGGAUGGAAUCUAUUUCCUUUGAGAGUUGCUGAAGCACAUUGAAGACCUGCUUCAUUUCAUUUUCCACAAUCUCGAUACGGCUUGGUGCGUUCUCUUCAGCCAUUCUAGUUUAGCUUUUGGCGAAUGCAACUAUGUCAUGAUUACCUGCAUUAAAAAAAUGGAGAGAACAUAAGCCAGGGAAACAUAUGGAACACUGGCCCAUGGCAAGGGUCAAGUCAUUUUUAUUUAUUUAACAAAGGAUUUAUACAAUGAUUUUUAUUUAUUUAACAAAGGAUUUAUACAAUGCCAAAAGGGCCUUCCAAAUAGGGUAGAACGAUCCUAAAUAUUCACAUGAAAUAUUCACAUCAAAAAGCCAAGCUGCCCAUUUUUAUAUGCGAUGGGAAGCUCCAGUAUUGUGAAGCUACUUGUUCCUUCGUACUAGCUUUGAUACGUGUCUCCUGCUUGUCUCCAAGCUAUUUUCAAGAGAUUCAAUUCACCCUUGCAGGGUAAGUUUAUCAACUACAUCGGGGAUUACUGGUUGCAGCUCCUCAGGAAUUAUAUGGUUGAGGAUGUAGAAUGUGGAUGCAUGAUAAGCUUUUUCCUGCCCUUUCAACCUUCUGGGUAUGAAAAUCUUUUCAGUGUGACAUAUACUCCAUGCGUUCUGAAUUAUGCGGAUCUCCUCCAAGUAGUUGUAGUCUGUACGGGUGAAAAGGAUUCGAAACAAUCCUAAUUUGAGCGGUGGCGGGAUUUCUUGGAGGACACUGUACUGACAAGCCACCCUAUAUGGAUAAUAUGAGGUAGUUCCCGAGAGGCCCAUCAACGGGAUAGUGUGUAAUAAUUAAGCGCAAAGCACGCCUCUCCUGCAAUGAACCAUUUAGUUCGCCAUAGGAAUGUCUCAGGGACCAAGUCUUUUAGCAAGUUAAUCCACUUAGAAUACUCUUCAUUGGGAGAAUAUUUUUCCAAGGUUUGAAACUUUUGCAGUGGGUGUUUAAACUCGUUGAUUUCAAAUAUUUGUAUGAGGUGCCCAAAUCCUUUGAUAUGGGAAAAGAACCACAUUUGUAAAAUUUCUGGAGCGGCCCUCAUGAUUUUUUCUUUUUGGUCCUUGAAGCGAUUAAGGGAUAAAAAGGUUUCAGCUAAAACCAUGUUUACAUAUCCUGCUCCGAAAGUGACUUGAUUUAUUACCCAUGCGAUUGAAGGAUUUAUGGCAUUCUUUCUAUAUGGGAAGAUGAUAAAUCCAAAGAAGGGCAAUAGGAAGAUCUUGGUUUUCUGGGUCAUUAAUUGUUUUUCAAAACAUUCGGUUAAGGAUGAUAGUGAAAAAGCAUUGUUGUUGGCUCCAACAAUUUCUCUUACCGAAUGAUUUUUUAAAAAGCGUGAUAGACUGACCACGGGGUCAAUGCCAAAUGGUGGUUUAGCGAGCUCCCUUCCCAAGGGCAUUCCUAUGGCGAGACUGUACUCUUCCAAUGUUGGAGUCCGUUCAAAUUUUCCAAACACAAAGGUAGAUGAUUCAGGACACCAAAAAUGUGGUAGUGCUUGCAUGACUCCAUAGUGGAUAUUGAUUUGGAGCAAUGGGAGGAGAUGACUGAUUCUUGCUUUAACACGCUCUUGGCCAAGCUGAUCUAACUGCUCCCACCAUUUGAGAAGCUCUCCCUUGGGGGUAGGAAUGAACUAGAUAUCAAUUCUUCCCAUCGCAUAUAAGAAAGGGAAAUACACAACCUAACCCUAUUUUUCCAUGAGCCAGAAAAGACUAAGUAAAAGUAAAUAAAUUACUUUCCUUUUUUAAAAAAAAAUGGCAAGCACAGAGACAUACAAAUGGGUCGUGUGGCUCGAUUUCUAACUGAGAAGGUUUGUUGAAAUUAAAAGGGUAUCCGCUCGUCGCAGUCUCACGUUAGCAGCAUACCCUCCUAACCUCGGCUAAGAAAUUCGGGGAAAGAAAGGCAACCUCUACAUCACAGUCUCGCGUUCAAGGUCGUAUCUUUCUUAACACCAUCCUAGAAAUCCUAUGGCAGCCCAGGUCCGGCGGCCGGGUUGUGUGUGCCAUGUGUAGUAUUAAAAUAGUAAAGCAUGCACAACAGUUUAUAAUCACAAAAUAUUUUAUUUUAACUUAAUAAAAAAAAAACUCUAAGCUAUUACCCUGCACAAAAGAAAAAAACCAAAGUCAGCAAAGUAUUUAAACAAAGACAAAAUGGCCUAAGUACUUAAAAAUUGUCCCCAACGAAGUCGCCAAGCUGUUGCGACCUCUCUUUUUUCGGUGCCCGCAAUUGAGUACGGGUGUCGACGGAGGCUAAUGGCUCGGCUAAAUUUAGUUAUGCCCGGACUCUCCUAAGUUCACCAAUUCACGACUUUAAUAGUCUAAAUUUUUAACCUGCAAGUUAAUUUUUAAAAUUGAGUCGCCACUAAUCGAUUUUGGGUAGGUUGAUUAGAAAUCCAUGCGAAGUAUUGGGAGAAAUACUUGCUCUUGUGCAACCAAAGAAAUUAGGAUCGGGGAUUUGAUUACACUAGUUAAUCACUAAUGCCCUUUCAGUACCUAAUCUUGUUUAAACCAUAAGACUUUUUUGGAUUUUUAAGGGAUUUUCCAUGUAUUUGUGGGGAGGAAAAACAUUUUUUUUUUGUCUUUCUCUAUUUUUUGCACAUAAAAGGGACUUUUUGGAUAUUUUUGGUUUUUUUUAGAAAAUACAAGUCUUUUUGGCAUUUUUUUGGAUUUUUGGCAUUUUUUGGAAAAUAUGAAAAAAUAUAUAUUUUUUAAAAUAAUUAUUAUUUUUUUAAAUAAUUAUUUAUUUUUAUUUAUUUAUUAAAAUAUUAUUUAAGCCGACCCGGGUCGGGUCUGCGAGUUGGGUCUAACCCGAGCCAGCCCAAAAUGCAGAUGAGCCCGCUAUGCGGGCCCAACUUGUUUUUCUUUUCUCUUUUUUUUUUAUUUAUAAAAAACACAAGCGGAGCGCAUUGAUUUGGUCCAUCUUCAUUAAGAAAAAACAACCCAAGGAUUAACCGGCCCACACGCGCAGGCCCAAAACGGGGGAAUCCCUACCCGGACGACCAAUUCGGGUCCGACCCGACUAGGGGGUAAACCCUACUCGGUUUGGACUCGACAGGCGCCCCUCUCCUUGCCCGCGUCUUCGUGGCACUGACGAGGGUGGCCGAGGAGCUACUAGGCGGUCGGACGGCGACGAUGAUGGCGACAACGAGCUUGAGGACAGCAGCUGACCACAUGACGAGGAUGGUGUUGCAUUGAAUGGCAGGCCAUUCAACGAGGGCGACAUCGCGGUAGAGCAGCAGCUAGUGAGGCUCGCAUCAGGGGAAUUGGCGGACACGACUAGGGUCUCAGGUAGGGGGAAGCGACAGCGACAAUGCGAUCGGCGAAGGUAGGGGCGGCGACCAGGGUUUCGGGUGGAAAAGCAACAGCGGGCGGUGGUUAAUACCUAUCUGUAGAGGGAGCAUGGCGCAGGGGCGUUGCUAGUCGGCAUCGGGGCUGUGAUGGAUCAGUGAAGCGGUGUCAUCUCCCAGAUCUGAGGUGUAGAUCUCGGUCGGACCUUCCUCGGCCUUGAUUUUCUCUCACUCCGGCCAGAUCCGACCCUCUCAAACUCGCUCGCCGCCGGACUUCCCCGAAGUCUCUCGGUGGAGGGUGGGCUGAGCUCGCGACUCAAGUUCUCCCCUGUGCUUGCCCUUUGAUCUUUUCCAAUAUCUCUCAGUGAAAGAUCUCCGAGCUCGCCACACCCUUCGACGGUGCUUGAUGCCGCCUAUUUAUAGGCGAAGGAAAUCCGGUCGACGGAGGGCCUCGGCCGCCGGCUUCUAGCUUGCCCACCGAUUCCCCUUGGCUGAACCGGUGUCACAUCGAGCUUUCCAACAAAGCCUGCUCAGCAUUAAUGGCGCCUAAAAUCUUUUCCUCUCCAACCAAUGUCGGCCUACUCUCCUCGACCGUAGGCCGUCCUUUGCGCGUCGGCCUCCCUCGGGCGCGUGAGUUGUAGCGGCGAAGGAGAGGGAAGGAGGAAGAAGAAGAGAGAAAGGGGCCGGGCCGGGGGAUGAAGAAGGAGGAGAGUGGGCCUAGGGCCCGCGUGAAAGGAGGAAGGGCUGGGCUGGGCUUUUGCUUUUGCUUUUCUUAUUUUUGUUUUUUUUAUCCGAAAACUUAAUUAAUAAAAUAAAACCUAAAUAAAAUUAAGGCGUCAACAGGACAUGCAUAGAAGUAAUUCCUAGCAAAUUUUCUUAGUCUCAUCCGCAGGCAAAAGUUAUUUGAUGAUGGCGCCCACAAGUACUAUACUAUCAAUAAUUAGCUCAACUUUGAUCGGAUGAGCGAUCCAUCAAAACCACUUGCUAGCAACCUCAAGUCUCAAUGAUUUUCACCGUCCAACCCUUGAAAAUGCAUUGUGUAAUAAAGUUAGUUAAGGUGCGUUUGAUAACAUUUUUAUUUUCGGGAAUAAUUUCUAUUAAAAAAUUACUUUUUUUCUAUAUCUAGCCUUUGGACGAGUUUCUAAGCAAAAAAAAGCGUUUUGUAACUGUAUAAAAUUUCUAUUCUCGAAAUAGAAAAAAAAAUAUAAAUGCAUUUGUUACGACCCUAAAAAUUUAUAUUCCCAAUUUUUUUCAUUUAAUUAUAAAAAUGUCACUGAAGAUAUUCUAAGAUGGCUUAAGAAAGUCCAAUGUAAUUGUUAGUCAAACAUGAAUAGCUAAAAAUAGCAGUAGAGAGUCCAAUUUUCAUCAAAAGAUUUUCACAUUUUUUAUGCUAAACUAUAAUUAACACUAAAAUCUAGUAAAAUUACUCAAAUCUAAUUUCUAAUUUUUUCCUAAAUUUCUGAUUUUUUUUGUUCCAAAAAAGGGGACUCGAAUCAGGUCAAGAGACCAAACUUUGUGUUGAUUGUGUAAAGGCGAGCAUUAGAUUACGUUAAGUUUGUUUUUUCUAAUAUGACCUUAUUUUUCUUUUUGUUCUUGGAAACAAAAAUGUUAGUUUUUUUCUAUAUCUUGUUUGAUUUUAAAUAUAUUUCCUGGCCAUUAAUUCAUUCUAAGGAGUAGAAAAAUUAGUUGACAAUUUUAAAUAUUUGUUUAUUUUGAAAAAUAAAAAAUAGAAAAAUAGAAACGUUGUCAAAUAGAUCUUCAGCAGCCCAAAUAAAGGGAAAAACUGAGCAUAGCCCAUGGAAAAUGCGAGGGUUUCUUCAUCAUAGGGAGGCAAAGUCUGGAAGUAGUAGCUUUUGUCCUGGGCGGAUCGCGUUGGCCUUCAGUCACAUCGCAAUGGAAGGCCUCUUUGUGUGUCUGUGAUCCGCAAUCAAUUAUGCAAUGAUAUUACGGACUAGACAUCCGCCCUCAGUCAAUGCAUCAUCCUCAGAGAUCGAACUAGCUGGAUCGUGUUAGCCUUUUGUCGUUUAAAUCUAUUUGACCUUUAAAAAACAAGUGCAUCAGAUCAGGGUGCGCUACGAACUAUGCGGUGUGGAUUAGAAAGUAAAAACUAGAAAGUAAGGGUGCGUAUAGUAACACUUCUGUUAAAAUAUUGUUCCAGGAAACAAAAAUAGAAAAAGUUAUUUCUGUUCCAGAGAACAAUUUUUGAACAGAAGAACGCGUUUGGUAAAUCUGUUCCUGGAAUAGAAAAAUAACAGAAACACGUUUAAUAAACUUGUAUAAUUUUUUUAUUUCUUUUAAGUUUUUACUUUUUUAAUCUUUUUUUCUUUUUUCUGUUUUCUUCCUUUUGGCCGAUCGCUGGCCUCAGCCAUGGCUGGCAACCAGCUAACGAGGGCCAGCGGCCUCACCCAGUCACGGCGAGGCUCACCGGCCCCCAGUGAGGUCGAGCCUCCCCAGGGGCUGGCGACACUCCGGUGAGGUUGCCGGCCAUCGACGGCGUCGCCAGCCCUCAACGGCCGAUCGCUGGCCAUGGCCGAGAUUGGCGACCAGCCAAAGAAAAAAGAAGAAGAAAAGAAGAAGAAGAAGAAGAAGAAGAAGAAGAAGAAGAAGAAGAAGAAGAAGAAGAAAAUAAAGAGAAGAAAAAAAUAGGAGAGAGAAAAAUCAUUUCUCAGAAGUGUUUCACUUGUUUCUAUUCCAAAUUUGUUCCUAGAAACAAAAAUAUAGAUUUGGAACAAAAAUGCAAACAAAUGCGUUUCUGUUCUUUUUUUUGUUUCCUGGAACAAAAAAACAGAAAUUGUGUUCAUGACCAAAAGAAAAGAACACAAACAAACAGAGCCUAAAAAGCUUAUGGGGAUUUUUUUAUUAUUAUUUUCUCAUUUCUAAAUGGCUUGCGAAACUAGUGGUGCUACCAACAUAUUGUAAUGAAGGCAUGGCAGAAGUGAUGAUUUGACAUUAGAGAUUGUUUAGUUAAUCAUGAAAACUACCAAAAAAGUCUUAUGAAUUUUGCCAAUUCAAUUUCAUCCUUAACAUUUUCACGUUUUGCCAAUUGAGUCCAUCCAAUUAAUUUUAGCCAGAAAUUGCUAAUGAGGAUGCUAGUCAUUCUAUAUGGUAUGACCAAAGCUAACAUGGACAACUUUUUAAUUUUUUUAAUUUUAAAUAUUUUUCAAAUUUUUUCUUUUCUUUUUUUUUCUUUUUUUUACCAUAGUGGUCAAUGAGGGUCAUGGCCAUCUCCCAACCUUGCCCAAAUCUAAGCAAGGCCAUCAUGAUUGCAAGCAAGUCAACCUCACCGGCAGCUAUGCCUCGCAAUGGUGUGGGCAUGCGUGGUCUCUAGUGAGGUUAGCCUCACCAAUGUCUCCCUCGCCACAAGUGAAUGUGGCCAUGGACUCACCAACCACGAGUGAGUGCGCCUUCGCCCAUGGCUGGCGAGGUCAUGGCUAGCCAUGGGUGAGCUGGACUCAUCAGCCAUCGUGGAAAAAAGGAAAGAGAAGAAGGAAGGAAAAAGAAAAGAAAAGAUAAAAAAAUUAAAAAAAUGAAAAGAACUUGUCGAUAUCAAUGUCGACAAUGCCAUGUAGGAUUACCAGCAUUUACAUCAAUGAUUUCUAGUCAAAAUUGGCAAAAUGGUUUUAAUUGGCAACACGUGAAAAGGUUGAUGAUUAAAUUGAUAUAAUUGAAAAUUUUAUAGCUAAAUUGGCACGAGUAUAAUAAUAAGUGUAAAAACUUUUUGGUAGUUUUCCCUUUGUUAGUGAAAUACUGAAGUGAUGUGUCAGUUAACAAAAAGUUUGAGCCUGCAGAAUUGGGAGGAAGAAGAGGAAGAAACUGACCCACAAAUUAACUAUAAUGUCUGCUCAAUUGAAAAGGUCAGAAAAGGAACUAAGGUUGAUUGGAAACUCUAUACACCUAAAUGAUGAUAAUUAAAAUGUCUUGCAUGCCCUAUUGAUUCUUGCAAUCCCCUCAACUUUUAGGUAUAACGUGUCAUUUGAUCCUGUGUCAAGAGUAAAUGAGUCUGGAAUUUAUAUAUAACAUUAAGGAUGAAAACAAUGCGGAUCUAUAUUACUCUUGCCCGGUGUACUUAUAUUCUGAAGGGAUCAUUUUCACUGAAGUUAAGUACAUGACUCAAAAGUUCAGGGAAACCCCAACGUACAAAGAAUUUAGCUCUUUCAAGCGCAUUUACUGCCUUCAAAGUUUGAGCUAAGAAUUCUUCUCUUUCUCCUACAGGCAACUAUAGACUCCAGAAAAACCAAAACGGUGUUGAUUUGAAAACAACAUAUGAGUGCUCAUGUUAUUAAGAGCUCUAUAAGAUUGAACCUAUAAAGAGGAUAGGUCGGACCAUUCCUACUUCAACUUUUGUUGGUUAUAUCGGAGUAAUCCUUGAACGUCUAUGACGACUGGAGUGAAGACAGGAUCCGCAGCUCCUUGAACUGCCACCUUCGCCAGCUCAGUGACAUUAACGGGAGGUGUGAUGAGGGGGCCCAAGAGCAGCAGUUUGUUGAGUGCCUUCCCGUGUUGAAAGGUCUGCAAACAUUGAAACACAAAACAAUACUCUUCGGAAAAGGUGAAGUUGGCAUGUGGUAAGCGUGGCAUUUUCCACGUUCAGGUUCUGCUCAAGCAAGGUUCUAGCAAGUAUUCUAAGUGAUUUCAAUGGGAGGAGGACAGUAAAAUACGGGCCAUAUUAUAGACAGCAAGGCGUAGCAUAGACCAACGUCAUUCAGGCAAAGCGUAGACCGUUUUGUGUAGGAACUCACACAAGUAGUGUCGGAAAGAUGCCACAUUCAGUGCAAAACUGAUUAAAGUUCAGCAUCUAAGGUUGUCGAGGCAUGUACCUCUCUUAGAUACAUUGGUAAGCUCGAAAUUGCUCGCUAUCUUGUGGCACCCUUCAUCUACAUGGUUAGGAAGUCGUUGUUCUGCAGAUGGUGUGCCUUGCUCAUUGGUUAAAACGUCGUUGAUUUGGCUGGUGUUGCUUGACGGACUCAGGGGGAAAUUAGUGUUUUGUAAUAUCUCAACAGCCGCAUGCUCAUGGGUACCAUCAUCCAUGCUUCCAUCUCUGAAUCUGCUCUCCCUAAAAGUUUGGGAAUUGAUGUCCCUUUCGUAAAAUCUUCUUCCCAAUGCAACAAUUUUCUGUCGCAGUGAAGCUGAAGAACUUGAUAUGAUAUGCCAAUUCCUUUUGACAAACAUCACCAUGAAAAUGAGGAGAGCUAAAACUGCAACAACUCCAGCAAUCAAGAACAGGCCCCAGAAACUGUCAAGACCCAAGCUAUUGGAAAUAAUGGAGGAAGUUGAAUCGAGGCAAUUGGUUUCUGAUGUAAACCACGCUUUUUCAAUUCUCGUCAUAGGCCCUUCAGUUACAUUGAGGAUUGCUCGCGAAAUGUCAGGAACUAGCGGAGACCCUUUGGGGAAAACCUGUAAACCAAAAGAAGCAGGACAUGAGAUUUUUCAAUCAAAGAAAUAACGACUAGCCUUAGCAAUUGUAGAAUUUGAGGAUUUUUCUUUAUUUUUUGGCUGGAAUUUAGAGAUUGCCUUACAAAGCCAAAUCCAGCAUUUUUUAAUGUCGGGAUCAUGGUGUAUUUGUAGCAAUAUUGAGAAAGAACAAGUUUAAUGUAGGGGACUUCGUCAAUUGCAGCUGCAAUCCCACCCUCUGAGCUUCCUUUGGAAAGAAGCGCAUCGCAUUCUUCAGCAGAUUUAUAAGGUACAAGUCUCUUAUAGUCAGAUGUCAUUUGCUUUAGCUUUUCAUGAAGGAAACAUCUAUCCUGGUAUCCCACAUUUUCUCCACUCUUUAGAAGCUGAUCUACAUCAGUCACAGUUGGUUGAAGAUUUUUCACCACCAAAAGAGAGCUCAAGCUCGCCGUAUAACUUUGUGUUGGUAUAAGUACCACGAAAACCCACACGAUCACAACAAAUCUUGUUAGGUUGCUAAAUGCUCUCUCCCCUGCAAUCCAAAUUAAAGGUAAGCACAUAAAUUCUCAAACAAUGAAAUGUAAAUUGUAAAGUUCGAUCGAUCUACUAAAGUGUAGGUCGUUUACUUCGUGCAAAGACCAUGGUUGAAAACGAAAACCAGAGGCUCGUGCCGACUUGAUGCGUGGCUGGACCCCUGAAGUCUUCAUUAAUCCGAUGUUCCAGAAUCCACACGACCAAUGCUAUAAAAACGAAAAAGCAUCCGGUUGCUAGCCAAAGGUCCCCAGUGAGUGGCUUCAAGAAAACCCAAGCAUUCUUGCUCUUGUUGUCCUUGUAUGGCACAAGCAUUGCAAUUCCCGAUUCUGUGUAUGGUAAGGUAAACUCCACGUACAAUGAUCUGUUUGCAAGUAUCGUCGUAUCACCCACCACUGCAUCAUAAUUCUGUUUCAACAAAAAGAAGGGAGAAUGUUUUCUUUGUCAACCACAUGAUAGCACAGUAAGUUUCAACAUGUAAUCCAACGAGACCGAGCUGUUGCAAAGAGUUAUCUCACCUGGUAAUAUACUUGAUCGAUCAUGUCAUUGUAACUACCAGCGCUACUUCCAUUAGGCAAGGCAAACGGAAUAAAUUCAUAAGUCAACGCAUAAGGCAGUUUUUCUAUCACAGCUCGAAAGAUGUCGAUGCAGUAUCCGGUGACUUGGGAUGUGUUUGUUGUAGGAUCACGUGUCACCGUUACGAAUUGCUUGAAACCGUCUUUCACAGGAACUAAGAUUUUCAAACUCUUCCCAGUCGUGGGAAACUCCCAUACCUUGGGAACAGAGGUUGAAUCUCCUGGCCAUAUUAUUGUUCCUAAAUUACUCUUUGAAGUGGAAUAUAUGCUUGUGUCAAAUGGAUUCAAAUCUCUCAGCAGCCCAUUUUUUCAGGUCCAGAACCCGAUCCCUCUUGCCGCGUUUCCAUUGAUAUUAACAAUUUGGAAUACUAACGCUUCUAACUGCCCAUCAACAAGACUGAAAUUUCCAGUGAGCCCCAUGAAUGUGAUAUUAGCUAGUUCUUGGAGAAGUUUCUCACCAUUUUGAGAGACCCCAAUAGUGUCCAGAUCAGUUGCAUCUGUCGAAGCAUUCAAAAUCUGGAAGGUAAAAUUCACCGUUCCCAUUUCUUCAACAGCCAUUGCCAGAGCCCGAGCAGCAUCAUAAGCAUAGUAUCCGAAGAUGUUCAACGGAGGACUAAGGACAGAUGGAUUCUCUUGUUGGAAUUUCUUCUUCCACUGCAUCAUGAAAGUGUCCAGGUUCCGUGUGCCUGGGACAUAAGUCUUAAUGCCCAAUACUCCUUGCAUCGAACUAGCAACAACUGAUGAAUCCACAGAACUUAAUAGGUCGGUGAUUCCAUUAGUCAAGAUCCAGACGUAACCUUCGCUUAUCAUUCCCAACUCUUUUGCUUUGGCCAAUAGCCGAGAACCGAGAGGAGGUAGCAUGUGCACGAUGAAGACCCUCCUUUGCAUCGUCAUUAACUUGUAGAGUUCCUGCCCGAUUUGAUCGUCCGUCGCCGAAGGAGGAAUGAGGCUCCUAUAGGGCACUCGCGUAUUGAGCUCUUCCAAAGCACCCAUAAGAGAAGGUAUGAUGCCUUCUCCAAACUCAUUGUCCAUAUAUAUUAGAACCGCUUCUCUCCAACCAAAAGCUUGCACGACUGCGCUUAUGGCGUUCACUUGGGACGAGUCAUUUUGCGCAGCUCGAAUGAAGUAUGGACUCCGAAGGGAACUGAGGGAAGGACUAGUAGCAGAAAAAGAGAUGAUCGGCACGUGAGAUUUGUUUCCAAGGUCAAUGACGAAGUCCGCUUGCACUGAACUCUGGGGGCCUAUUAUGGCUUGGACUUGCUUAUUCUUUAUCAGAUCAAGUGCUGCAGUGGUGACCCAGAAAAGACGGUGAAACAAUAAAAAGAACGGCAGAUAAUGGAAAUUCUUAUUGGAAAAGGCACAUCAGGAGUCAAUCAAAACUUGGUGCAAUAUUAUUAAAUUUAUAGAUGGUUAAGAAGAAGGUAGCAUCGGAGUUGAAGUUGGAACUUGUACUUAUUGAAACAAGUGUUUACUAACCAGAAAAAUCUGACGUGAACCCAUUAUGAUUAGAUCAUAAUUCAACAUGUUCUUAAGACGAUGAAAUCUCGAUUACUCUGACAAGGUUAAGCGAAACCUCUUAUUUUUGAGGUAGCUGACCACUUCCAUUUGAUUUGAGGUUCAAACAUGAAAUUUUUUGUACUCUGUGCAGCGAGGAAUCGACGCGGCAUGUCCAUUCCAACUGAAAUAUUGUUGGGGAAAUGAUAUAAUGCAUACCAAACGGAACUAAUUCUAUUACCAAAAGUAAUUUGAGAACGAAAAAGUGGUUAAAUUGGCCCAGACAUGAACAUGUUGAAUCUUCCUCCUCGUUAAAUGACCUCUUUUAUCUCAUGGCAUCAGAAAAUUCCACUCUUCCAAGCCCCAUAUUUCAAUUUUAUGGAUUUUGUGAGGGCAGACCUUUCUGAUGUUAUAUCAUAUACCAAACCUUUUAGCAUCCAUUUUAAACUGCUUGCAUGCAUUGACAACUAUCUGAUUGAAUAGGAAACCUAAGUUGUUUCAAUCACGGUUAAUAACACAAAGCUUCCAUGAAAAUAGUUAGUCACCGGCUUAACUUUCUCAACUAGAAAAAGAAAAUCAGAACAAUUAUGUAGAUAUAUUUUCCUGAAGAAAAAAAAAAUUGAAGUGUCUCUAUAAACCAGCCCGGCUUAAAGACUAUUUUUCUAAUCCGAAAAGCACAAUAAAAGUUUAUUUCUUGAAUUGAAAACUUCUUGUCACUAGAAAAUAUUUUCAAGAAAUUUAAGAUUAGACAAAGUAAACCUUUUUUUUUUUGUAUUUGUUUUCACUGAAAACAAAUUGGAAAAAAAAUAUUUCCACGGUAUUUGAUAAUAAGUGAAUACAUUAAAGGCAGCUUGUAAAUUAAAAUUGAUAUGUAAUGACUAACAAAAUAGAAUCAAUGUCUUUUUGUUUACUUUGUAAUCCAUUGAAUAAAAGGACUUACAAGUAAUUAUUAAAGAAUUUAUGAAAAAUAUUAUUCACAAUAUGAUAUAAGAUGGAUUAUUGUGAGAAUAUCGAAAGACAUGAGCAUUAAUGAAGUAUGUUCAGGAGAUAAUAAAAAAACCAUAUGAGACUUAUCAAGAUAAAAAGAAAAAAUAUUGAUAAGCAGAUAAUGGAUAUAGAAGGAAUUAUUCUUCUCAGUUGGACGCACGGCAGAAAUUUAAAAAAUAUAUAUAUAUAUGAUUUCUUAUUGCCGAAAAAAGAAGCUGUUUUCCCCAAUCUAAGUUUAUUGUCUUCAAUCCAUGAAAAAGAAAAUCAUCAAUCAACUAAUUUUCCAUCAUUCAAAAAUUGGAAAAUUCGAGAACAAUUUCCUGAAAAUGGUUAUUUUUAAACAAACUAACUCUAAUGUUAGUUUUUCUUACCAAAUUUGAAGCUAUGUAGCAUGUGCCUCUUGUGACUCAAUUUCUUACAGGGUUCACUUGUCAUCUACAUGUAGACAUAAUUUUUUAGAGUUUACUACAUCACUGCGGGACAAGAGUCACAGGAGAGUUAUAUAUUCUUCGAUGAAAAGAAUAGACGAUAGCAGUCCUACAUUUCACCCUCCAACAUCUUAAAACAAAAAUUCUGCGACAAAAUUCUGCUCACAUGUUUUUAUCAAGAUGAAACAUUGUGUCCAUGAAUAUAUGCACAUUUAUACAUUGGUGAGCUAUGACAUCAUAGGAAGGUGGACUUCUAAUUCAAAGAUCACAAGUUUACCGACACCAACAAUAUGGUCUGUAGAUCAUUUUGAUUAAUAUUAUCUCAACCAGUAAAUAAGUAGGCCCUAUCAUGAGCUCGAACGAUUGAUGCUUGAGAUAUAUUUGUUCUAUAUGAUGCAUAGAUCAUACACGCUUGUUUCAAUAGUGCUACACCCUCUAAAUACAAAAACAAAACCCAAGAAAUGGUUUAAUAGAUUAGAGAUUUUCGAUUUGGGGUGACUGAAAUAACUAUUUCCAUCAGGAUAUUAUAAUUGGAUGGUCCCUAAGAUUGUUUCUUGCAAUAUCGUCUUCUUGGUAUAGCUUUCUGAAGAGUAAACUCCAAGAAUUGAAAGGAAUAAAUGAAACAAAUGGUUCCAAGGUCAAAUGUUACUCUCAAAGACCAGUGUUUUCAAGAAGCACCGCGUGGCGUGGAUGGAACAAAACCCAUAAAUACUGACAAGCUAAGCGUCAAAUCGUCCGUCUCGCACGGGUGCAUGACUGGGUUGGACGUGUGAAAGAUAUCAAAUUGAAUCUUAACCAAAAUAAACUUCAUCAAUCAACAGAAGUACAAAAGGUAGAGAGAGAACCUGCAGCAGCAGCAGCAACCUCUUCUCCUUUUGAGUCUCUAACGUUGAGGACGAGCCUGGUCUUGUAAGAAGGGUUUGAACUAUAAAAGUUAGAGAGAGACAAUUCAACGCAGCUCAAUCCCAUUUUACCCACCCACGUCUCCAGAUCAACAAUCACCCCAACGUUCACUGGGAUCGUUGUGGCAAUGUUUUUGUUACUACUUUGCGCCACCGCUAGGUGAGGACCGUCGCUGGAGGACACAAUGAUGGCUAAAAAGGAGAGAGCCAAAAAGAGGAGCGUUUCAGCGUCGAAAGAGAUCCUUGGAGGCAUCAUUGCAAAGGGUCUCGGGAAAACGUAAGUGUGUGUUUGUGUGAAAGAGAGACAUGGAGGAUGUGAUGAUGAGGACGACGUAUUUAUAAGGGAGAAGAGCUUUGAAAAGUAAGACAAAGCAUGGAGAGCUUCCAUUCAAGGAUUGCUCGACGUGGGCGGUCCGUCUGAGCAUACGUACCAUGCAAAGAGAUAAGAUGACCUCCGGUAGCAUUCGCACUUCACGUUUUUGUUUUUUGAAUUUUUAAUUUUCUAUGAAGAAUCCUAACAAUUCUUUGAACUCAGGAUUGUUUAUACCAUCAUUUUUUCUGCUGCUAUUUCCAUCUCGUUUUAACAACUGAUGAUGGAACUUUGUCCGAGAGCUAGAAACUACUCGAAUUUAAGACUAAGAAAUGUAUGGUCUCCGAUAUGAUGUAUAUGCGAUGCAUCAUGUAGUACUUUCUUAAGCAUUUUCCAAUUCUAAUAGGAGGGUCUGCCUUGAUCAAGAGUCUGCUUGGGAUGGAGUUAAUCUAGUAUACAAAAGCUCAUGGAUAAUACGACAUAAUCAUGAACAAAUAAGAAGAGAUACUCGAUGAUUCUCAACUAAUAUAAGAAGCACGUGCCAACUAGAAAAAGCAUAAAUUGAUGUAAGAUCGAUUUAUUGUUAUUAUUACCAUAAACUUAUUGGUAUUUCACUCUAACAAAACUUGCGUAAAUUCAAUCAUCAUGUACCUGAAGACCUGCCCUAUGGUAGUUUCAAUCGGUAGCUAAGCCAUGACAUAUUGUUGGUGGUCAUUCUUUUAACUACUUUAAAUAGUAAAGUGAGCAAUGGGUUAUACAUCAAUAGAUUAGAAAACUAACAGAGAACGGUCUCGCAUAAUUUUGCUUAACCUAACAGUCCCCUCAAGUUGAAUUUGAUAUAGUAUGAUGAAAGCCUUAGUUAAAUGAAUUCUUGCCUUAUCAUAUUGAGUAGAAAACCUCGUAUUUAGAAAUUAAAGAAAAGAAAGAGAAGAAAAAUUCGUAAACUAACAAAAAAUGUGUGUAUAUAACCAAUUUCAAUCACCUAUCUCUAUAUCAUAUAAAAGUGAGUGUGCAACUAAUUAGGAAUAAUUGAGAAUGACACGGGUGUAUAUAUAUGGCUUAACAACACAAUAAACUUACUAAAUCGUGGUGAAAAAUGAGUGAUUAAAUAUUGUCAUUUUUGUUGUUUCUUGAUCAUCAUCAUCAUCAUCAUCAUUGACUUUCUCUUGCAUAUCAAUUCAGAUUUGAUUCAACUCAACGACUCUUCCCUCUGUACUCCUAGAGGCACACACACGUACUCCUAAAUGGACUUGCGAUGUGUGCAUAAAAUAUAUUUCCAAUCUCUGUGGCUAAGUUUUGUGAGUUUCCAAGAAACUGCGUAUGCCUUGAAAUCAAACUCAGGAUAUGUGUGCAUAAAAUAUAUAUCUUUAUAUUAAACUGCCCUGGCAAUUAAUUUACAAGUUGUCAAAAAAAAAAAUAGUGAAGAGGGAAACUUAAAUUUAGGAGAAGUAAUUUAGAAAAAGUUAAAAAUAAGGGUUAAUACCACAAAAAACCUCAAAUCAACACAUCUUGAUAAAUUUACCCAAAAUAAAUUUCUUAACUACUAAAAAUCUUAAACUAGUAUACCUACGACAACUACUAAAAAUCUCAAACCAAUACACAUAUGAAAAAAAGAGGAUAAUACCCCAGACUAAUAAACCAUCAAUUAUCACAUGUCAUUUAACUUAGCAGUUUGACGAUAAUAUUUAACGGAAAUUAUUGACAGAUAAAUUUAUCAUAAGUUUGGGAUUUUCGGUGGUCAAACUAUUACUUUGGGGUAAAUUUGUCAUAUAUGUAUUAGUUUGGAAUUUUCAGUGAUUGAAAUAUUAGUUUGGUUUCGUGGUAUUAACUCUUAAACAAAAUGCGAUGAGAGCAUGGAUUCUCUCUAUCUGUUGGUUCAUUCCAUUCGUAUAAAAGCACCACGUCAUAGCCUCUUGCAAGGGGUUAUGUAAUAUAUAGUAAUGUUGAGUUUCUACGAAGUGUUUGAUAUUAUGUGACCCAGAAUGGCUUUGCAAUCAAUUCACCCUAGUCAAUUCGCUCUACUCAAAAUGGUUUUUUUCUUCAUGAUCCAUGACCAUUAAUCUUUCUCCAUACAAUGUGGAGACAUUAGACGAUUCAUGACGUACCUUCCAAGCUCGUCCAUAGAAUUCUAACCAAAGUUACGGACUACUCAAUGCGAAAGUUCGUCGAAUGGGCCAACUAUGCGAGUCAUGUCACAGACAAAUCGUACUAAUAAUUGAGAACGAUUUCUCGAGAUAUUUAUAUCCUUCACAGCGCUCAUCCACGAAAUGGACUCCAAACUUAUUCACGCGGUUGCUCCAGUCCACAUCGAGUCCUUUUCAUUUCGUUGUCUAUGUAUACAAUGGAGCAAUGGAAAAUUAGAUUGAGCUCGUCUUUCGAUUUCCUUCUGAACUACGUCCAACUAACUAGGGCGAAAAGUCCUCGAACUGUCGAUUAUACGAGUCAUGUAGCAGACAAAAGUAACAAUAAAUGCGAACAAUUUCUCGGAAAAACGAAGCUUAACGAGGAAAUAGACAAGUCCACGCGAAAUCUUUUUCAUUUCAUCGUUCAUUUAGGUAGCGCAUGCAAACGCUUCUGUUCCGGGGAAGAGUUUUUUUUUCAGAAAUGGUUCUUUUCUAUUUCUACUCCGGGGAACAAUUUCUGAGUAAAAGAACCCGUUUGAUAACGACACAAAAUUUCUACUCUGGAAAUAGAAAAAGAACAUAAAUGCGUUUGAUAACGCAACAAUUUCUUUUUUGUAUUUAUUCAUUUUUUAAUCUUGCCGACGGAUUGCCGCCGCCUCCCGCCGCCGGUCGCCGUCGCUGGCCCGCCAGCCACCGCUGCCGCACGACCGCCGGUCGCCGACCGUCACCGCCGGGCGGCGCCGGAAGCCCAUCGGCCGCCGACGACCGGAGGCCGGAGACGGCUGUCGGCCGGCAGGCGGCGACCAGCGGCGUCCGGCGACCGGCGGCGGCGGCGGCGACCGGCGGCGUCCGGCGUCCAGCGACCGGCGGCGGCGACCGGCGGCGGCGACCGGCUGCGGCGACCGGCGGCGGCGGCGGCAACCGGCGGUGACCGGCGUCCGGCGACCGGCAGCGGCGGCCGGCGGCCGGCGUCCGGCGGCGUCCGGCGUCCGGCGUCCGGCGACCGGCGGCGUCCGGCGACCGGCGACUGGCGGCGGCGUCCGGUGUCCGGCGACCGGCGGUGGCGUCCAGCGUCCGGCGACCAGCGGCGGCGUCCGGCGUCCGGCAUCGGCGUCCGGCGACCGGCGGCGUCCGGCGUUCGGCAUCCGGCGUCCGGCGGCGUCCGGCGUCCAGCGGCUGCGACGUCCGGCAUCCGGCGGCGGCGACGUCCGGCGUCCGGCGUCCGGCGGCGGCGACGUCCGGCGGCCGGCGUCCGGCGGCGGCGACGUCCGGCGGCCGGCGUCCGGCGGCGGCGACGUCCGGCGGCCGGCGUCCGGCGGCGGCGACGUCCGGCGGCCGGCGUCCGGCGGCGGCGACAUCCGGCGUCCGACGUCCGGCAGCGGCGACGUCCGGCGGCCGGCGGCGGCGACCGGCGGCGGCGACGUCCGGCGGCGGCGACGUCCGGCGGCGGCAACAUCCGGCGGCCGGCGGCGGCGACGUCCGAUGGCCGACGACCGGCGGCGACGUCCGGCGACCGGCGGCAGCGACGUCCGGCGACCGGCGGCGACCGGCGGCGGCGCCGGCGGGCGGUGGCUCCGGGCUGUUGACGGUGGUCGCGGCAAGAAAAGGAAAUAAAAGAAAAUUAAAAAAGAAAAUCAGCUUAUUUCUACCAAUUGUUCCCGGGAACAAGAAGCUUUUUUUUUCUUCUUGUUUCUGUUCCCAAACCAUUCCCGGGCUAAGUUUUUAUUCCCGGGAACAAAAAAACAAUGUGGCGUUAGCAAACAGGUUUCUGUUCUUUUUUUGUUCCGGGGAACAAAAGAACAGAAACCAAGAGACGCGAAAUCUUUUUCAUUUCAUCGUUCAUACUUGAGUAGUGUAAUCCAUCACGAUGGCGUAGUAGAAACCCAAUAUAGAGAGCCUACUGUAAAAUGAUAGUGAGAAUAUUUACCAAUAAAUAAACAAAUGAAAACAUAACGUUUCUCUAUAUUAUGCGCCUAAUUCGCAACAAAGUUUAAACUAACUCAUAAGCGCUUAUAUUUUGUGUCUGUCCAAUUCAAUAUUAUAGCAUACACUAGUGAGAUAUCUGUGUACAGGUCUAAGAUUAUAAAAUUAUAUCUUGUAAUACCUAAAUUUUAGCGACCCCUUUUAGUUAUUCAUUGCGUAAGGAAUAAAUACAAAUUACUCAACAACAAAAUAUUAUUAAUUUACGUUUGCAUAUUAUGAGCAUUUUUCGUUUAAUGACAUUGGGCCCACAUAAAUCGCAUUCUAAUUAGCCUCGUGCUAAAUGGGUUAAAAACAAGCAGAUUCUAAGCUUAAUUAAAUAAUUUGGACCCAGCCCGCGAGAGCAUAUGAAAUUUGGUCAAGCUCAUUGAAAUACCUAUGGUGGUCGACGCAUGAAAUUUGAUCAAGCCCGAUGAAUACCUAAGGUGCCCGAAAUUUACAUGCAGUGUGCGCGUGGGAGGUGCCAAAUUAGGAGAGAUUGCAUUAUCAGAUUAAUUUGGGAGAGGAUAGAGUUAAUAUCUUUUAAAAUUGUAGUCAUGAUGAAGAGAAGUACUUUAAUUUCUUAUUUUGGACAUAUCACAUAUUCUCUAAAUUUGAAUUGGGAAAUUAGCAUGUUUCUUAUUCUAGCAGGAAUGCUCUAAUUCCUCACCAUAUAUGUGUAGACUAGAGUCAUCCAUUUUUUAAAUUGAGUGUUGUCUGAUUCAAAUCACUAUUGGAGGCAAAUAUCUUCAAUCACGGGUCAAAAUAAUUUAGCAAUCUUUGUAGAUAACCAACAUGCACAACACAAUUGGACCCUCUCAAGAAGCCACAUAUUCCACCUCAAUGCAAGCUGCAUCUAUGAAUGUUAUGAAUAAUCCCACUCAAACCCAAUAAAUCAUUCCCAAGAAGCUACGAGUGAAAGUUAUCAUGGCAUAGCCAAUUUCAUUAGCUGGGAGAACAUGAAACUGGUACUUCAAUUGCCAUAAUAAGUUUUUACAAGCAAAUUGAAUAAAAACAAAACCCACUUACGGAUAUUUCUCGAUUCUCAAGUUCAUAAUCGUCAUCGGAGAAGGUGACUAGUGGUGAAUAACUUAAAACCGGCUUUUGCUGAAAUUGAUGAGUGCUUGGGUGAGGAUGCAAAAUUGCAUAAGAGCACGUGCUUUGAAGUUUGCUGAUGAAGAGGCUGCAGAACUGAAGCAUGCAAUUUGUAAUUUUGCAAAACUGCAGAACUUCCCGAAUAUCUUUUUGUUUGCUUUUUUUGCUAAAUUGUUCAAAUUGUUUUGCAUCUAUGCAAGCUCGUGUGUGAGGAGUCUAAUGCAUUUGUCAAGAAGGAGGUAAGCAAGAUGAAGAAAGAAAGAAAGAAAAAACAAAAAGGAAAAAGAAAAAGUCCUUAGACGAAAACACCCCUAGUUGCAAAUAAGAUUUGACAGGUUUAUAAGUUGAGGCCAUUAUUUGAGACUAAAUUUGUCACUUCAUGCUUUAUUUGAGACAAUGUCCACUUUAGGCCUUUUUUUGAGAAAAUGAUUUUACUUAAAGUUCUAAAUUGAAAUUUUCCCUAUUCUAUAAAAUAUGAAGAAAUAUGUCUAAUACACAACCUAGAAAACCCAAACAUAAGCUUAAGCAAUAAAGAAUUCGGAAAAACAAACAAAAGCCAAAAACAAUUUGGAGAUACGACAUAAUGCCCUGAAAACAUGCGUAAACGAAGAUGAAUUUUGAGGUUCGAAACGAUUGCAAGAGGUGUACUCAAUUCGGUACAGGUAUAAUGCCCAGAACAAGCUUUUCAGAUUGGAUUAUGGGACUCGUAACUCUUUCUAGAGAAAAGUUGCGGUCAUUUUCUCACACACUAGGCAGAUUGUUGUCCUGAGCUCUUUUGCAACAAUCCAAAAAGCCAUCAGCAGCCGUGUUUGCAUCAACUGUGUUAGCUUUUUUUUAAAUUUUUUCUAAACUAUUGUACUGGCAAAAGGAUCUUUUUUGCUUUCCCGCCCCGCUUUCCAUCCCCCUCGGAUGAUUUCGUCCAAUGAGACUUGCUGAAAGUACAGGUCAAUAUUGCCCAUAUAACCCAAAGUUUUGUCGCCAGUUAUAAACCACCUAAAAUUAAUACCCAGCAAGUUCUGUUAUUUAUAGAAGGAAAAUGCAUCGGAAUUGCUAAUUAAAGUCGUCAGUCUAAGUCGAGUUUGGGUUUUGAAUUUCUCGUAGAAGUACAUGGAAAGUCAGGCGAGCAGUUAAAAGAUGAGUUCAUUGCUUGCAUCCUCCCUUUUAAAUAAGAAAAAUCUAGGAAAUAGCGUGCUUACUUUCAAAAAGACAAUAUCAGACAAUGUCUGACUGCAUAUUGGAUUUUGACACCAUUAAGAAAUAAACAUAUUGAGACGAUCUUGCUGUGGAGGUUAUGCGUAGUGCGUGGAGCUUAGUUCACUUGAAUAAAGAAUAUCGAGGAAGAAAAUGAGGAGUUAAGGGAUAAUGUGUCUAUUUCUAGACUUGGUGAACGGGAAAAAUAAAAAAAGAACAGAUAUAUGGUGAGAGAAGUCAAAACAUUAACAAUAUGUAUAUUUCAGUUUGAAUCUUUGAGAUGGAGCUACAUAAACCGUAUCCUCAAGCUUAUUUCUAAACAGUUCGUGAACAAAGCCCAUGAGUGACUUUUUGGCAUGAUUACGACCGUCGAGAAUUUUAAAUAGGAGAAAUCAAGGAAGAAGAGUCAAGACACAAAUAAUUAGUACCGACAAACUGAGCAUGCCCCAUGGAAAAUGCGAGGGUUUCUUCAUCAUAGGGAGGCAAAGUCUGCAAGUAGUAGCUUUUGUCCUGGCUGGAUCGCGUUGGCCUUCAGUCACGUCGCAUGGAAGGCCUGUUUGUGUGAGUGUCUGUGAUCCGCAAUCAACUAUUCAAUGAUAUUACGGACUCGACAUACGCCCUCAGUCAAUGCAUCAUCCUCAGAGAUCGAACUAGCUGGAUCGCGUUAGCCUUUGGUUGUUUAAAUCUAUUUGACCUUUAAAAAACGAGUGCGUCGGAUCAGGGUGCGAUGCGAACUGUGCGGUGUGGAUUAGAAAGUAAAAGGCUGAUGGGGAUAUUUUUUAUUAUUAUUUCCUUGUUUCUAAAUGGCUUGCGAAACUAACGGUGCUACCCACAUAUUGUAAUAAUGAAGGCAUUUUGAGAUUGCAGAAGGCAUGGCAGGAGUGAUGAUUUGACAUUAGAGAUUGUUUAGUUAACCAUGAAAACUACCAAAAAAGUCUUAUGAAUUUUUCCAAUUCAAUUUUAGAGCUUUCAAUUGUGCAAUUUCAUCCUUAACAUUUUUCACAUUUUGCUAAUUAAGUCUACCAAACUAAUUUUAACCAAAAAUCGCUAAUGAGGACACUAGUCAUUCUAUAUAGUAUAACUAAAGCUAACGUUGAUAACUUUUUAAAAAAAAAUUAUUUUUAAAUAUUUUUCAAAUUAUUUAUUUUCUUUUUCUUUUCUUUUCUUUUUUUACCAUAGUGGCCCAUGAGGGCCAUGGCCAUCUCCCGACCUCACCCAAAUCUAAGCAAGGCCAUCAUGAUUGCAAGCAAGGCAACCUCACUGGCAACUAUGCCUCGCAAUGGUUUUGGGCAUGCGUGGUCCCUGGUGAGGCCAACCUCGCCAAGGUCUCCCUUGCCACGGGUGAAUGUCACCAUAGACUCACCAACCACAAGUUAGUGCGCCUUCGCCCAUGGCUCAUGGCUAGCCAUGGGCAAGCUGGACUCAUCAGCCACCAUGGAAAAAAGGAAAUAAAAUAAGGAAGGAAAAAUAAAAGGAAAAAUAAAAGAACAGAUAAAAAAAAUUUAAAAAAAUAAAGAACUUGUCAAUAUCAAUGUUGACAAUGCCAUGUAGGACAACCGGCAUUUACAUCAGCGAUUUCUAGUCAAAAUUGACAAAAUGGACUUAAUUGGCAACACAUGAAAAUGUUGUGAACUUAAUUGGCAAAACAUGAAAAUGUUGAUAACUAAAUUGAUACAAUUGAAAAUUUUAUAGCUAAAUUGGCACAUGUAUAAUAAUAAGUGUAGAAAUUUUUUGGUAGUUUUUCCUUUUUUAGUGAAAUACUGAAGUGAAGUGUCAGUUAACAAAAAGUUUAAGCCUGCAGAAUUGGGAGGAAGAAGAGGAAGAAUCUGACCCACAAAUUAACUAUAAUGUCUGCUCAAUUGAAAAGGUCAGAAAAGGAACUAUGGUUGAUUGGAAACUCUAUACUCCUAAAUGAUGAUAACUAAAAUGUCUUGCAUGCCCUAUUGAUUCUUGCAAUCCCCUCGACUUUUAGGUGUAACGUGUCAUUUGAUCCUUCGUCAAGAGUAAAUAAGUAUGCAAUUUGUAUAUAACAUUAAGGAUGAAAACAAUGCGGAUCUAUAUUACUCUUGCCCAUUGUACUUAUAUUCUGAAGGGAUCAUUUCACUGAAGUUCAGUAAAUGACUCAAAAGUUCAGGGAAGCCCCAACGUACAAAGAAUUUAGCUCUUUCAAGUGCAUUUACUGCCUUCAAAGUUUGAGCUAAGAAUUCUUCUCUUUCUCCUACAGGCAACUAUAGACUCCAGAAAAACCAAAACGGUGUUGAUUUGAAAACAACAUAUGAGUGCUCAUGUUAUUAAGAGCUCUAUAAGAUUGAACCUAUAAAGAGGAUAGGUCGGACCAUUCCUACUUCAACUUUUGUUGGUUAUAUCGGAGUAAUCCUUGAACGUCUAUGACGACUGGAGUGAAGGCAGGAUCCGCAGCUGCUUGAACUGCCACCUUCGCCAGUGCAGUGACAUUCACGAUAGGUGUGAUGAGGGGGCCCAAGAGCAGCAGUUGGUUGAGUGCCUUCCCGUGUUGAAAGGUCUGCAAACAUUGAAACACAAAACAAUACUCUUCGGAAAAGUGAAGUUGGCAUGGGUUAAGCGUGGCAUUUUCCACGUUCAGGUUCUGCUCAAGCAAAGGUUCUAGCAAGUAUUCUAAGUGAUUUCAAUGGGAGGAGGACAGUAAAAUACGGGCCAUAUUAUAGACAAAAAGGCGUAGCAUAGACCAACGUCAUUCAGGCAAAGCGUAGACCGUUUUGUGUAGGAACUCACACAAGUAGUGUCGGAAAGAUGCCAAAUUCAGUGCAAAACUGAUUAAAGUUCAGCAUCUAAGGUUGUCGAGGCAUGUACC